GGUUUCUCGAGGUUUUUCUUCCACGGCGUGUUCACCCAUUUUUACAUCUAAAACGUCCGUAAUAUUUCAUAAUCACGAUAAAUUUUAGUGUCAAUUUAUAGCUACAACAACAAUCGAAUAGUUAUUUGCUAACCAAAGAGUUUUUUAAAUGAAUUAUUAAAUAAAUAAUAAAUAAAAUUGAUAUUUUCUUUAAACCGAAUCGAAAACGGAUUUAAUUUGCUUUCAACGCACGUCAGUCCGCCGACAGCGUCGGUGCAGCUGUCUCCUUCCUCCCCGACACCAUUAAUGCCGGUCUCUUCCACCCUCUCCCUUUUUCCGUUCGUCCUCCUCCCAUUUUCAAAACCUUCCCCUCCAAAUUAUUAACCACCCCCGUCCCCACGACGUCAACCAGCGAGCGCUCGCGUUCGCUCGUCCCUGCGCGGGCGCGCCAUCCGCCUCACCCCCCGGCGCUCCCACGGCCGAUCCCAGCGCGCGCAUGCGACGCCUCGUACGAGGCGUGUAGGCCGGCCGUGGGCCCCGCGGGGCUUGAGCAAACUUCCCGUCUGCGGUCACCGCCGUCGGGGCCCACCCCUGUCGGCCGUUCCUCCGCGGUCCUUUUUUUCUAAGCGCUCUGGGGCCCCACCUCGGUGCCCUCGGCCUAUCGAUGCCCACCGUUGGAUUACUCACGACGCGUAAACCAACGGCCGAUGUCGCACGUUCGCAUGCGGGGAGCUUCGGUUAGCUAUAACUACGGGCCACGACAAAACAGAAAAGGCCCAAAACCAAAUCGGAAGGAAGCCCUCGUCUUCCUUCCUCCGUAACGCCAUUCCUCUCCUCGAUAACUCCUCCACCAAAACCCAACAGCUUCUUCCUGACGGCGUUACUCUCGGAUCGCCUCGUCGAGGAAUCGACCGAUAUGGUUUUCGGCGGAGGCGCCGCCGGGGAUUACUCAUCGGGGUCGAUGGCGACGCCGGAGGCGGCGGUGGCGGAGGAGGAUAUGGUGGGGAAGGACUACGUGGGGAUAUCCGAGGUAAGCUCCUCUUCUUACCCCGGUUCGGCCGGCGUUGGAGGUGGAAUGGACGAGGAGGAGGAACUGGAACUCGGUCUGAGCCUGGGGACAAAGAAGGCCGUCGGCGGUGGCGGAACGCCGUGGGCCGAUUACUGCCGAAUAUUGACGGCGGAAGACUUGCCGUCGAUGGGGUCGCGUGCUUCGCCCUUAUCUUCUUCGUCGUCUGUUUCAUCCUCGUCCUCGCCUAUCGCGGGCGGGGAGAGGUGCAACGGCCGUGUGGCUAAGAAGACCUCCAGUAACCCACCGAGGUGUGCGUUUCCUUUUCUUCUCCACGGCUAAAAGAAUUAGAAAUCCUCUUUCUUUUAUUGCUUUAGUAUCCUUAGCUUUGGGCUUUCCUUUAUUGCUCCCACUGUUUACUAUGAUUUUCCCCUGAUAUAUGUGUUUGGUAAAACAAUCAUGUAUUACAAAUGUGUAGUUCAGUGGUGAUUAGGCUGCUUUAUUUAAAAUCUAUGGGUUCAGUCUCAACACAUCAACUGCGUUCGUGUAUGUAAAGAAAAUAAUAGGGCAUCUUAAAUCAGUGUUGUAUGAGAUCAUUUUGUUUUUGUUUUUGUUUUUGUUUUUUCUCAUUAGUGUCAACCUAUUAUCAUCUGGUAUUUUGCUGAGUAUUGGUCAGUUUUUUGCCAAGUCUGUUAACUAGCUCAAUUUGCAUUGGGUUGACUUCUUCCCAUAUGCUAUUGGGAGUCCGUUCUUGGCUCAUUGCAGGAAUAACUUGCAUGAGCUAGUGAAUUUUAUUAUCUUAUAGAACUUUGUUGUUUUCGUAAAGUGAAAUGGAUCAAAGUCAAGCUUUCAACUUUUGUGAAUUUGUCUUCAUAUUUUUUUUCUAGUUUGGGUAUUAAUUUUCUAUGCAGAUAUUAUUAGAGAAAUUUAUCCUGUGUGCUAGCAUUAAUCUUUUAUCCAUGUACGUCGUGUAGACUCCAAAUAUGUAAUACUUUUUAUGAGGAUAAAAUUAAUGCAAGAAUAUGCAAAAUUAGUGGAGGGAUCUUGGUUUUGCAGGAGGAUGCACGUGGAGAGAGAGUAAAUAAUUGCAUGGAUUUGUAAAGUCACCUGCAUUAAGUGGCAAAAAACUAAAAUUCACUUCAACUAAUUUAUUCACCACCCCCCUUCAUGAAAUAGGGUACAUUAGAGAAACAUUUCUGGUGAAGGUUCACAACACCAGCAGAUUCUUUUCUAUGGCUCAGAUUAUGAUGUCAACAGUCAGGAUAUAAUGUAGAAACCCUUUUAUCCUAGCCAUUUAGUUUCUUAGCUUCCAUAAAUUUACUCCUUCAGGCCCUUGCUCUACAUUGAAUGUGAGCUGUAAGCACACCAUUAUGUAAUUCUUUAGUUCUUUUAUGGAGUAGUUGAAACCAUAAUAUCCUCGUAAAGUACCUAAUGGUAGAUGAGUGAGAUGAAUCCAUUGAGGCCAGAGGAAAAUGAUCAGGAUUCAUUAAAAGUUGUUGAUUGGUCAUGCAUUAGAGUAGCAGUCACUAGAUGGAAAUGGAAACUCUAACAACUGUUCUGUCCUCAAUGCCCCCUAUAUCCAGAAAUUGAUCACUUAAAUGAUCUUUGACGGUCAUAUGGGUACCAAAAGUAUGUACGAGAUGGAUGUUUAUUGUCCCAACCAUUUUUGUUAGCCCAAUACCAGUGAGGAAAAACAUAAUGGAAAUUCAAAGUAUGAACGAGAUGGAUGUUUAUUAUCCCAACCAUUUUUGUUAGCCCAAUACCAGUGAGGAAAAGGAUAAUGGAAAUUAGUAAAAGAAUAGCACAUUUUAUUUCCUGUUCAAGGCCAUAUCUCCAGAGUUAGUGUUGCUUUUGCUCCUGGAUGUUGAGAAUUCUUGGGUAACAGUUAUAGUCACAGAAUAUUUUAUAACAUGCUCUAAAUGGAGAUAAUCAAGGACCAUAUGCAAAGUUACAGCAGCGUCAUUGCUAGAUAGAUGUGUGGAUAUGCAGCAGCAAGAAAUACACUUCAGUUGAGUUUAUUACAAGGGUUGCUUUAAGAUAUUACCAACCAGUUUAAAGUGAAACUUUAGCAGCUCUCAAUAUUGGACAUGAUUAAGGACAGAUAAGUUUGACAUAAAUUCAAGAAGGAAAUUAAGAAGCUGAUUAACCAUCCAUCGACUAGAGGUUUCAAUAAACAUGAGAGGCACCGUGUUUUGUACUCUUUUCCUUAUUCUGUUGCCCUUUCUAUACUCCAUCAUCAAUAGGUGUGAGCUAGAGAGGUUGCUUCAGGGUCAAGAAUAUAAAAGGAAUCUGCUCUAUGCACCAAAAGCACAAAUCUGGUUCUGUUUGUGUUUUUGGUUUAUGGGCACAAGCUAUCAAAUGGGAACUACUCAUGUUUACUCUUCCUAGACACUAUGGUAAAGCUGUGGAGUCCCUUGGUUAGGUGUGUCAGAAACAAAUGGGAUAAAAGAGCGGUUAAAUUUACUAGAGAACACAUUUGGUGACUUUGCCAAAAAGAAGUUUCUCGUUCUAGUUAUCCCAUGAAGAUGGAUCUUCCUAUUGGCAUUCUCUUGUACUUGUCACUUGUGCGCUUGAUCAAAUCAAAGAGAGCAUCGAGUAUUGACAUCAUGUACUUUCUCUUUUUAUUAACUUGUCAGAACAGCAUAUAAUUCAUGUUUCCAAAUUUUCAUUUGGCAGUCAAAUGGUGGUAGGAUGGCCACCGAUAAGAGCAUACAGGAUGAACAGUUUAGUCAACCAAUCCAAAGAAAACACAUCCGCGCAUACUACCAUCACGUCAACCCACAAGAAGGCAUCUCAAAACAUCAAGAACAACAAAACUGGGGAGAGAAUUUGCUGCAAGGAAAUUGAAAAGAAAGGAAGAUCCUCUGUGAAUUCCCUCUUUGUUAAGGUGAAUUUGGAUGGAGAUCCUAUUGGGAGGAAGGUGGAUCUCAGUUCCUAUCCCUCCUAUGAAACCCUUGCGCUAGCACUUGAGGCCAUGUUCCUCAGACAAACAUUAGUCCUCGGUAGCUCCAUUUGUGAGUUCCUCUAUUUUUUAUUCCUGUUUCUGGAUGUAUACUUAAUUACGUAUAAUGUUUCUUUGAGGACAUUUAGCUCAUUGAUCUGUACAUUUUAGACCUGUGGCUUUCACUGGUAAUACUUAGAUAAGAUGCUGCCUGAUUUCUUGACUCUAUUGUGAUAGAUGAUGGCCCAAGGACCUCAAAAUUGCUGGAUGGCUCAUCUGGAUUCAUAAUAACAUAUGAAGACAGGGAUGGCGACUGGAUGUUAGUAGGUGAUGUUCCGUGGGGGUAUGUGCGCUACUUCUUUUGUUUCUCGCACUGAUACUAUUCCAGUGCAGGAGAAAACUUAACCAUCAGCAUAAAGUAGUGGAAGGUUUGCUUGUGCAAACCAAUAAUUUCUUGUUGGUGUCACGGUUCAGUGAUGCUAAUAGCCAUUUUAAUUGCAAUUAAUUUAAGUUGCAUUUGAUGAUCGCAUUUACUGUCCACUUUCUUAUGCAAGAAGUCAUUUGGAGGACUUGCAUAAAUUACUUUGCAAUUUGCUUUUCCUUUGUCUUUCUUUUCCUGGGCCUAAUUGCCUCUCUAAUUAUUAGUUUUUUUUUUGUUUUGCUUUUAACAGAAUGUUCCUUAGCACUGUCAAGAGGCUUAGAAUCAUGAAGACCUCUGGUGCUAGUGGGCUUGGUAAGUUUCUUCAGCCAACCUAUGUGGUCAAUUUAUCAUAUGCCACCUUUGUACAAGGACCAUGGUCCUAUAUAUUGACCUUUGGUAUGACUAGCUUUAACCAACGUAUUCCUAAACCCUUUGCUCAUAUGAGCAAACAAAAUAUUCAUCAGAAAUGUUGAAAGUGUAUCAUAUUUUUUGUUGCUUUAGACCAUUUGGUGGGGCUAAGUGUCUAAUGAGUCUGUUGGCUAAUAAUGCUGUAGAUCAAAAUUAUUGCUAAUGGCUUUAGUUCAUAGUUUUUCUUCGAUAUUCAUUUUAUUGUGGUUUGGUUACUUUCUACAGCACCAAGAUUCCAUUCCUGGCCCAAUAUUGGUCCUUGCUAGGUUCCCAUCCUAGCAUCAAGGCAAGGCUUUUGGGAUUUUUUAUCUUCAGCACCGACGUCUUUGUUUCUCUGGCAUGUCUAGUGAUUGGUUAGACAUCAAAGCAAGGUGCAUGACAAUUGUAGAGAGAAGAGCUCCAAAAUAGAAGGCAAAAAUAUAUCUGAUACCUGUUUAGGGUCAAAUGUUGAUAUGACUGAUCAUAUCAACAAAUUUUCAGACUGCCUUUUCUUGUCAUUUUGGACUCUAAACACUGUUUUUGGGGGUUUUUAUUGUUCGCUAAACUACAUAAUGUUUCAUAUCUGGUUGAUUGCUCGUUUGAACAUUGUAUAUAUCGAUUUCCUUCGGUCACCCCAUUUGAUCUUGGACUUAAUUGUUUCUCCUUUUCACCUUUGUCUUAGUUUUUCUCCAUAUUCAAGUUUACUAUUCUGUGAGGUGCUUUGGGUAGAUAGUGUGUUGUUUAUUGGACUUAAAAGCUCAAAUCCUUGUUCUUAAGGAUUUUAAACUCCAUUUAUGGUGUCUGUUUUAAUUAAUGGCAGAAAAUUAAGAGGUGAUUUAAUCUACCUUGUAUGACUAUUCUUUCAUCAAGUUUGAACUGUUAUUUAAUUGAUUUGAUGAUCGAGAUUAUAUUAAAAAAAUAAUUUUUUUACUAUAUUAAAUAGUGUUCAUGAUGCUCAUAUGUGGAUUCAAACUUGAGGUUACAAUGUAUAGAUUACAUUGCAUGACUGGUUGUUAGUAUGCUUAAUAGUUUUUUGUUUUCUUAAUUUUAUAAAUUUUCAUAUAAAAUUUAUUGUUUUUUAUAUUUAAUAUUAAUAUAUAAAAUUUCUCAAGUCCCAGCAUAUUCCUUGAAUUUGAGCAGUCAAAUAAUUCCAGUUAUUUGUAUAAAAAUUCUUGCAAAAAAUGAUGGUUAUAUGGGGACGAAUGCUUUCAUUCCAAGUAUUUGAGGGAUAAAUUCGACCUAUAGCUGCUUUAUAAAAUUAAUCAAAUACUUGCUGUUUUAAUUUCGCGUUGAUGGACAUAAUGUAGAACUCAUUUUCUGUAUGUUUAAAAUUAAGUAAAUGCCUUUUAGAAACUAUAAUUCAAUGUUUUGCUGACUCUGUUCUUCUUCAGGCAAAUGGGACUGCCAGAGUCAUGUUCACCCAUCUUGUUCUCCCGGAGUCUUUCGUAUGAUACCUCACUCUGAAGGGUUACUUUAACUUAGCCUCAUUUUCAAAUGUGAAUCAAGCAUUGUUUCUCUCGUAUUCAUCCUUAAAAUGUGAAUCAAGCAUUAGAGAGAUAGUAUGGAUAUUUGUGUUUAAGAUCUUGGGUGCUGUGAUUCAUGAGAAACUUAAGCGCCUGGGAAAGUAUAUUGACGCAUCACACUUCUGCGGAUUGACGUGUAGCAUUGUCUUUAUGCAAUGUUUCAUGAUCGAUUAGAUGAUUCACACGUCUAACUUUAUGCAAUUUUAAGCUGGUCUUCUGCCACUGUCAUCCAAUGGUAGAUGGAACACUAUAAUUUAUAUUUAUCUUAUUUUUUGACUUGUAUUUCUUCCAUGACCAAUAAUGAAUUUAUCUUGCUUUUUAUUUGUUUGUAUAAAGCUAACGAUCAAGUGAAACACCAGCCGAUGGCAGCAGUAGAGAUGACGGGAAUCACGUCCACUUGCAGCAGCAGCAGUUUUACAUGCAUGUUCGAAUCUAAUCUUGGGAUGAAGGUAACCAAAUAAUUGAGUCGCUGCACUUGUCACAUGCCGCGCCUACGCGGUCGAUCCCCCUCACCAUCUCCAUGUGAGCGAGCUGAUGCGUUCUACCACUUGGUAGAGAGGUCAACAUAGAAGAACAUGAUUGAGAAUCGAAAACACCUGAUUCUUUCAUCUUUUCUUUUUUUUCUAAUAUCAAAUACAUAAAUUAGUGCAACUCCGCAGCCCAAAACAAGAGGAAAGAUUUGCUAGAGGAUUAAACAAUUAUGCACCACUGUUGAGCUUAAUACAUUCUUUUCUGCAUUGCCAAUAAUAAUAAGUCUGCCAAACACCCCCAAAAUAUCUUAGAGAUCUCAGUAUUUCCAUAGGCAAGAUAUGCAAUAUCCAACUUGAUUCACUUCGAGCUUCAAUGUGUUCACUACAAUUAAACUUAGACGAAUUCUCGAAAAAACGUUCUUCUUUCUGAAUAUUUAUGAGGAGAUAUAUUUUUUUCUUCGUGUUUUCCUAUUUAUUCUAAUUCUUGAAAUACCCCCUGAUAAAAUAGUUGGAGCAAUACUAGUCCAUACGAUGAAUCGAUCCAAACCCGCACGUAUAAGAUCCACACUAUCCGUCAUAAUAUUUUUGACAUCUCCAUCAAAACACUAUGAAUCUAUUUAAAAUUGAGAUAAAUUAAUAAAAAUCAGCUUAAUAUAAAAAUAUAAUUUUAUGUCAGUUAUAGUAUCUUUAAAUAGGCUUACAUUGUUUUAAAAUCAUCUUACUUACAGACAUAUUCACAAAAAAAGAAUGAGAAUUAUUAUUAUGACUAUUUUUUGAAAAAUAGGGAAACAAUAUCGAUUGAAAAAUCUAAAAAAUAGACACCUCUUGUGAGAAAAAAAAAAAUCUAAAAAGAGGAUCUUUCUCACAAAUUCGUCUAUGAAACUUACUACGGACCUCAAAGUAUCACAAGUACAUACAUUCCGUGAAAUGAUGUUACUUGUGCAGAUAUGUUCAGAUGAAUCGAAUCCCUUUACGUGUCCAUCCUCCAAGCCGUGCAAGCAUCUGAAGACAUGUUCUCAAUCACCAAAGAGUUGCAUCACCCAACUCACCUUCAGAGUUCUCUAAUAGUUGCUUUGCGGUACCAUGUACAUGGUGUAGAAGGAAGUCUGCCCUAAGCAUGUGCCACUGAUGCGUGGAGCAAGAUGAUCCACAAGGAAGAUGAAGCUAAUCAAAUAACAAAAGGCCACAGAGAAAUUGAUGCAAGCAUUCUGAUGUGCCACACUCUAUCCCCGCCAUAUUACUUACCUGCCAUGUGAUGCACCUCAAGGGCACAAAUCCCACGGAGAUGCAAACCUCUAUUAGAUAGAGGAGCUUUGACGAAGAAGACAUUCCUGGAUGUGGAUUCCAAUGGUAGUUAAAUGCAGUUAGCUACCGACCAAAGGAGAACAUGAAGUAAGUAGAGCGUAAGAGAUGAGGUCACCCACAUUGCUGUGCAUAUGUUAGAUGGAUUUAGGACGAGUCUUAUGAGAAGGGAGUAUGAAUCCAUAUUUUUCCUUGUCCCCAUUUGUUGAAGCAGCUGUUGCCACCAGAUGAUUUGAUUCUCCUGUGGCCGGAUGCCAUGUGCCAAACACUUGGAUUCUGGUUUGACCGAGCACCUGAUGUUUGACUAUAAUUUCCAUUAUAUUAACUGAAUGAUGCGCCAUUCUUAUCGGAAACCAACAUGGAUCACUUGCAUGAAGAAGAAGACGAAGUCUAUUGACUACAAAAGAGUUACAUGCAAUUGUCUAAUCUUCCCAGUGGAAAACACCAUGAGUUAAGUUAAACAUUAAACCGACUCACAAUGAAUCAAUAUCACUAAUCCUUCUGAUUAAGGAUUUGUUAUGUCAAUGGAGGUAUGGCAAUCUUUCUAAUUAGGUUUCUCUACGGCGUUCUUGUAUAAAGUUAAUGGAGCAUGAUUAGAGACUAUGUAGUAUUGACUCAACCAUCAUCUAUUGCUAAUUAUUUGUUCUCACAUGGAGCCAUCAAACUUCACAAAUCCAUACAAAAAUGAAGGAGAAUAUAGAGAACUCAAUGAGUUAGACAUAACCUAACCUCUCAUAAAGAUCUUGUGGGUCCCUUCUAAUCAUCAAUCAGAAUCGAGAACUAUAUUUUAUAUGCCUCAUGUUAGUUCAUGGCCAUUAUUAGGGUCCACACUCCUCAUUUUAUAUGGGACUAGGCUUUUAUGAAGAGGAAGAACCUCUGUUUAAGUAAAACUACAUAGCUCAAAAAUUUCCUUUGAGAUUGGAUCUUAUUUCCCCCGCUAGAAAUGUUAACAAGCAACAUCCCCUCCUUCCACCUUUUGAACUGCUCUUCCUAAAAGCCUGCAUCAUAUCCAUAGGAAGCCACAAAGAAGCUGUCAUCCUUCAUCCCAUGAUUUCUAGUUAGGAGCUUUUCGUGAAUGAAUAUAACAAUGGUUUAGUUUAAUGUGUAAAAAUGUGAUUUACGAGUGCACAAGUAAACCUCAAUCAAAGCAUAAGAAGACGUGGCCAUGGCAGUCUCCUUCCAUUUGUUUGGGGCAACAACUGCUGCUUCUACUCACUUCAAGGCCUGUGGAAUAAGAGCUCGAGGAAGGACUGCACGUUCUACCUCUCCUUGUGACAUGAAAAGGAGAGUCUUCUCUUAGCAAACCGAGGUUUCAUGCAUGCACAUGCCUCACCACACACACACACACACUCUCUCUCUCUCUCUGUGUCUAAGAACAAGAAUCCUUAGUUCAUCUUCAAGCUGAGCACCACACAAGCAUCACAGGAUGCUGCUUCCUGAUUAGCGAAAUUAAGAUCACAUUGAUCAAAGAUGGCAGAAAGUGAGCUGCACAAGAUUAGAACAUGCUCGAAGUGAUUCCAUGUAAAAAGAAGGCAGCACAUCUUAGUCUUCUCUUCCCCGCACACAAAUUCCAUGAAGUGAUUACAUUGUCUGUCUCUCCUGCUUCGAACGUUUUCGGUAGUAUGAUGACACCCAGUGGGUGUCUUUGACCCUGUAAUCUGCAACUUGGAAUCAAGGAUCUUUUCUUUCUUUGAGACGGACAGGAUUUGUGCACCAUGAACACGUAGUUUAAUGGCGCGUUGGCCAACGAGGGUAUUAACGUGGUGGUGGGGAAGGCGCCGACUCCGUAAAACCACGUGGGAAGAAGGCGAGUGCCGUCUGGGUCCCCCACCGCACUCAGAUUCUUUUUCCCGACGGUGGGACCCACAAGGUAGCGGCUUAUUAUGACUAAGGGCUCGGUAGGGACGAGGAGGCCGCGCUCCCGUCGAUGUUCGCCACGUCAUUUUCAGUUCUUUUUCUUGCUAUUUAUUUAGUUUGAUUGAUAGAUGAACGGACCAUCGAAUAGUGGAUCCAAACUUUUGUAUUUAAUGUUGUGAAAGCAGUCAGGUUUCCAUCGGCAGUGGAGGACUUUAUGGAAGACUAGAAAUAAAAGACGAGCAAAUCCAUCCAUUCAUGUUAUGUCGCCUUAAUCAUGUAGAAGACAUCGUUCUUCCAUAGGAAGAAGAUAGCCAUCAGGCUCCGAAAGCUCUUACGCGAGGCCUUGCAGAAACAGGGCACCGCUAUUAUGACAACAGUAAUGAUCUCAACCACUUGUUGACGAUGACGAAGGAGUUUGUGGCUCUUGCGAGGAACAAUUGAUGGAGGAAAUUUUUUCUGACAGAUCUAUCGAUCGACAUUAAUGCAGUAAGAUGUCAAAACGAUAACCCCUAUCGAUCCCCAUCAACUAAAAGCAAAAGCAGCAGCAGAAAACAGUGGCUAAUAGUUAAGCGACAUCCAUCUGAAAAUGAUUGAUCGAACAAGUGCUUAAGAUGAAUCCUCCCCUGUUUGAGAUUUUAACUUAGCUUUCUGUAUACCAACCUACAUCUUCUUGUUUGAUACUAUGAAACGGCGGUCUUAGCAUUAUCUAUGGGUGGUUCCAAGCAGCCAACGUAUCUGACACAAACUUAGAUAGAUAUCGCGAUCAACUCCUCCCAGAAAUAUAUCCAUGGGAGACCUUGUCUUUGUUGUCUUUUAAAGAGUAAACUAGUCUAUGAACUUUAAACAAAGAGCAGAGGCGGCAAAUUAUCAUUCGAGGACCUAAACGAUACCUGUUUCUCUAUACUGCAGGAACAUGCAGCUCGGAUGAGUAAUGUGGUAGCACCCCCUAUAUAAACACCUCCCCUUCCUGUUAAGCAUCAUCCUCUUCAGCGCAAGUCUCUCUUCUAGUUCCCUUUCGCUAUCCCAAUUCUUCGCCAUCUUCAUUUCCUAUCUUCCGAAGCCAAAAUUCCUACUGGCUAAAGUCUCUUGUGCUCGAACUAAUCUUCUCUAGCUCUGCCCUGUUUCCUGCUACUGUACAAUGUCCAGCAUGGCUGAUCAAUUCGGGUUCUUCUCCCGGAGGUGUGUGUGGGUGAACGGUCCGAUCAUUGUCGGAGCUGGCCCGUCCGGCCUGGCCGUGGCAGCGUGCUUGAAGGAGCACGGCGUACCGUCGGUGAUCCUCGAGCGGUCCGACUGCAUUGCCUCGCUCUGGCAAAAGCGUACCUACGACCGCUUGAAGCUUCACCUCCCCAAGCAGUUCUGCCAGCUGCCCAGGUUCCCCUUCCCGGAGCAUUACCCCGAGUAUCCUACCAAGCAGCAGUUCAUCGACUACUUGGAGUCGUACGCUAAGCACUUGGAGAUCAGCCCACGGUUCAACCAGUCGGUGCAGUUAGCGAGGUACGAUGAAACGUGCGGCCUGUGGCGGGUGAGGACCACAGGAACUGGCACCGCGGCUGGAUGCCGGAGCCAGGAGGUGGAGUACAUCGGCAGGUGGCUGGUGGUGGCCACCGGCGAGAACGCGGAGAGUGUAGUCCCCGAGCUGGACGGGCUCAGGGAGUUCGGCGGUGAUGUGAUGCAUGUUUGUGACUACAAGUCCGGUGAGGCCUACCGCGGGAAGCGCGUGUUGGUGGUCGGCUGUGGCAACUCCGGCAUGGAGGUCUGUCUCGAUCUCUGCGACUACGAUGCCUUUCCAGCUAUGGUGGUUCGCGACUCGGUGAGCAAUCACUGCUCGAAAGCCAUCACUCCGAACAUAUCUCUGCCAUUAACAUUGCCCUUAAUGGAGUUACUUUAUGAAACUUGAUUACAGGUUCACGUACUGCCGAGGGAGGUACUCGGGAAAUCGACGUUCGAGUUGGCUGUCCUGCUGAUGAAGUGGUUGCCGCUGUGGCUGGUGGACAAGAUCCUACUAGUGUUGGCGUGGCUGGCGCUUGGGAACAUAGAGAGGUGUGGCCUGAGGAGACCUUCCACCGGUCCUCUGGCGCUCAAGAACACAGAGGGGAGGACCCCUGUUCUCGACACAGGGGCUCUUGGAAAGAUAAGAUCUGGCGACAUCAAGGUUGUUCCUGGGAUCAAGAGGUUCUCCCCCGGAAAAGUCGCGCUCGUCGACGGCCAGGUCCUCGACAUUGACUCUGUCGUCUUGGCUACAGGUUACCGAAGCAACGUCCCUCAGUGGCUUCAGGUACCAACAAAGAUUAUUACACACAAGUUAGUUGAUCGCCAGUAACAUGAAUUAGAGCUUUAUAUAGGUUGAUUCCAGUGAAGUUGAGAGAGAAAAGAAUGCUGAUGAGACACUGCUACUGUUCGCGAACUAUCCAAACCACAGCUUCUUCAGUACAAACAAUGAAAAUGACAUCCGAGAAAGUGGUCUAGAAUAGAAAGAUUAAGGCUUAAACUAAAAUCUCUGCACAAAAAGGGAAGAAUGGAAGAUUGACCCACGCUUGUUUGGUUUUGCAGGGAUGUGAAUUCUUCUCCAAAGAUGGGUUUCCGAAGACUACAUUCCCGAACGGGUGGAAAGGACAGUCCGGGCUUUACGCUGUGGGUUUCACAAGGAGGGGCCUCUCUGGUGCUUCCUCAGACGCAGUGAGGACUGCCAAGGACAUCGGCAGGAUGUGGAAGGAGGAGCUGAAGCCGGCCAAGAGACCCGUCGCCUGCCAUAGACGAUGCAUCUCUCAGAUCUGAUGAAAUGUCUCCUGCUGAAUUCCCUCCCUCCUUUCUUGCGUUGCUCGGAUUGUAGACUAGUGUAACACAGAUCAGCAAAACUGCACAGAACCCUCUCUCUCAAUGGAACAGGAAUGUGCCUGACAUGACACAUACGAUGAGGCUUUUCUCACUUUCAUACCACAAUUCUCUUUAAUGUAUAUGAGAAUGCUCCACAUACCACUAUCAGGAUGGAAGCAAAUUGGCCCCUUGUGUCUACUAUUUUAGUAGGAUAGGGAGUUCUAUGAGCUUCCUAUCAAUAAGAAAUCAUCUAAUUAUUAAUGCUUUUCUACUUCGAAAACACCUUUUUAAGAGGUUGAUGCAUCAUAUCAGCCAUCUUUAGUGACCUUACAAGUGUAGUAGUAAUCAUGGAGGGUCACCAUCUAUCAUAUGCUUGCAAGUGUCAUUCAAUUAUAUUCAGGCUUUGGAGGACGGUAACCUCAUCGCCAAUGUCCAUCACAUUCUUUAUGAACAUUCAUUCAACUAUCAAAUAUUCGCGAGCAUUGCGUAUCAGAGAGAAUCACAUCUAUUGCUAUUAUUCUAAUGAAUCACCCACUUAAUGAGAAUCACAUGCUUUUCUCCUUACAAUUGUCUUCCACCGAGUGGAGAUCAACUGCAAAUAGGCUCACCAGAGAACCACAGUAAUCGGUGAUUACUUUGCUUAGAUGAUGACGUUAUGCACUCGCGAUGAUGCACAGACUCCAGCCUGGUCGAUGGAUGCUCGAUACAAACGCGUUCCUUCAUAGCAUUCAUGGGUACGAGUGUUGGUGACAUCUCGAAGAGCCAUCUAUUACUGCCCUACUCGUUAGCAGUCAACUAAUCUACUGUUGCUAGAGGACACGAGUUCUCUAUCAUCUUACCAUUCUAUCAGUGUAUCUUCUUUUUUCUUCCUCUUCCUAGAUGUUCACUUCUCUAAACAUCAUGUUGAGUAUUUCCAUGAAAAGUUCUUGCAAACCGUAGUGAAAAGAAAGGCACUCUUGGACAGUACCGAUAUUAGAUAGAUAUAUAUUAUGAUUCGGCAGAAAUUUAGGAGAUUUGGCCUCAUCUUUUAUGACUCGGCAUCUUCGAGGAUACAAUGCUGAAGUUGGUGCAUAGAGUAACGCAGUAUUCCAUCUAUUUAGGCUAGCAGUUACCGGGGACGGCUUUCUCGAGCUACAUGGACUGCAGGGUGCUGGGCGUUGCCCAUGGAUCGAGAUGUUAUUGAGAUAGAUAGAUAGAUAUAGCAGAGCUUGAAGCUCUCCGGGAUCAUGCAUCUGACCAAGUAAUGUCGUAGUCACCAUUGUGCGACUUGUAGAAGCCCAACGCCUUCCACACUGCUCGAGACGCAUCGACGAUGUUGUUCCUGCAGGGUGGCUGGAAGUUGUGCUCUUCGUCGCAGCCGUUCACCGAGUCGCACUCGCCGACAACUUUGGCCAGCACAGAUCUGCCAUUGGCGUCGAUCCUGACGGUGUUGCCACACCUGCUGCCGUCUUCGUACCAGCCGGUGGACAGAGCGACGACCAUCUCGUGAUCGGAAUGGUACUCACCGUCGCACUUCGAAGGAGCGGCGCUGUCGCCGCCUUCGGAGAAGUCGUAGAUGGUCAUGUGUGCCUUCGUGGCUGCGGUGACCGGCGGCGAGCAGCGAUACUGGCGGUACUUCUUGCCAGCCUUGCAGCACUCCGCGCCUUUUUCUUCGUUGCAUUUGCUUGUGGUGCCGGUCAAAUACCCGCUGUGGCUGCACGACUGGACGUAGCUAAGAACAACAGUUGACAGUAGCAGAACGAUGACCAGUGAAGGAAGCGAACCAGCAGCCAUUAGAGAGGACUAUGGUUUUCUUGUGAUGGUAGUAAGGCCUUUGUGGUAGUGUGCGUAUAUAUAUAUCUGCGUGUGCUAUGAAUUCUCGCCCCGAACGGUUGGCUGAUUUGAUGUGACGAAGUUGGCUACCGAUCGUGACUUCAAUUAAAUUGAGUCUGAGAUAAAGCUAUACGAAGGACUUGUACUUUGUCGAUAGUUUUAAUAUGAUUCUACUUCUACGUCGUCAUGACUAAUAUGAUUGAGUGAUGGUACUUUUAUAGGCAAUCGAACCCACUACUGAGGCAUAAGUGGGACGCGACGUGAAGCCAAAGACGGGGAUUGACCGUGGCAUGCCAUCUCUUUGUUUGCCGUGUUGGACUGAGACAUGCCACAUGCGCAUCUCAAUGUAACGAUGUUGAUGAGUCACAAGGACGAGCCAUAAUGUCACACUAUAAAAGUUAUUCUACUGUAGUCUGAAUCAUGGAUCAACCCUUCCCUCUGCCUCAUCUCGUUCAUGCUUCUCCUUCUUCACCUCAUUCCCCUCCUUCGUUUCGUGGGUAUUGUUGUUGUGUCACCAAAAAAAUAUUAGAGAAAGAUGUCACUAAUGCAUCAUUGAAACCUUAACAGCGUCGACUGCAUUAGCAAAUUCUUCACUAUAUUCAUGACUUGCAAGGUUGCAUUGUUACUACAUUUACCACCACAAUCAUGAAGCACUCAUGGAAAGCUUUACCACUGUAUUGGCGAUCAUAGUUGUGUCGCAUUGAUUAGAAUUUGAAUAAUUAGUCAUAUGAAGCUUGAUUUCAAAUAAGAAUCGAGUGGUUUUACAAAGGCGAACAUUCGAAAUCUCUUGAAGUAUAAAGUGUUAAACAAUUAAGUCACAAUUGAUACUCAUGCAAUUUUCAAUGGUUGUCUAACUCAAUAUUAUCAAUUGUAAAGCAAUGUUGAAUCUUCAGUUUUUUAUAUAACCUAAUUUUUAUUAUAGUUUUUUAUUAUCUAUAUUGAGUAUAGGAGGUGGUCUUUUUAUAAAUAAUAUAUAUAUAUAUAUAUAAGUUUUUGGCAAAUGUGUCACGAAACAUUAACAUUGUAAACUAUUGUUAAUUUUGAAUAUAAAGUUAUCAAUGUGCAAUCGAUCUUAUAAUCCUUAUUAUAAUUAUGCUUUAGUUGAGUUCUCAAGGUAGAUUUUGGUUAAGUAAGAAUCAUAAUUUAGUUAAGGUAUCAUUGGGGUAGUAUCUUGCAAUUUUACCACAACAUAUAAAAUUCUAUUAAUUAUCCUAAAAUACUAAAAAAAUAGAAAAAAAAAUAUUCCUAGUCAUCUUAAAAUCGUGUUCUAAUAGUUAUAUGGAAGUUUGGAUAGGUUUCAUAUAAAUUCAUCGAGUUACACUCAUUUUGGACUAAGUUACACUCGAUCAUAACAUCUUUUAAAAAAUUCUCUAACUUUGAUAUUUAGCCAUCAUAAAGUCCUCAAAAAAUAAAAAUAGUACUAAUUAUCUUACAAUCAUAUCCUAUUAGUUUUGUGAAAGUUUUGAUAUAUUUUAUUUUUUAACUAAGUUAUACUCGUUUUUUAACUAAACCUUGUUAUGAAAGUGGAUUUAGUUGAGUUAAAUCAUGUUCUAGUUGAGUUAUCUUACAAUCCUACCACAUCGUGCCAAAUUAUAUUAAUCAUCCUAAAAUACUAAAAAAAAAAACAGUAACACUAAUCGUCUUAAAAUCUUGUCAUACUAGUUAUAUUGAAGUUUGGAUAAGUUGGAUGAAAGUUUAUAGAGUUAUACUCAUUUUUGAACUAAGUUAUGGUCGUUCAAAGAUUUAACCUAAAAAAUACCUAAUUUUGAUAAUAAUGUUAGGAUCGAGAGCACUAAGAGAGGGGGGGGGGGGUGAAUUAGUGCAGCGGAAAUUUUUCAGCGAUUAAAACGAAAGCUACGUUCGUUUGAUAAAAAAUGAUUUACGUCUAAGUGCAGAUUUAGAAAGUUCUGAACUUAGAAACUUGUUCGUAAGAUCGCAGAAGGCAGUAAGCAGUUAUGAUUGAAAUCAAAACGUAAACUGAAAUAUGAUGAUCGUAUGAGAAAAGCCGAUUUACGUCUAAACGCAGAUUCAGAAAAUUCUGAACUUAGAAACUUAUUCGUAAGAUCGCAGAAGGCAGUAAACAGUUAUGAUUGAAAUCAAAACGUAAACGUAAACUGAAAUAUGAUGAUCGUACGAGAAAAGCCGAUUUACGUCUAAACGCAGAUUUACGUCUAAACGCAGAUUUACGUCUGAACCUUGAAACUCGUUCGUAAAAUCGCAGAGGGCAGUAAGCUAUUGAGAAGUUUGCAGUGAAGGUAAAAUGCUCAAAGGAAAUGCAAACCGAGAUUUUAGAGUGGUUCGGUCAAUCUUGACCUACUCCACUUUUGGCUUUCUCCACCGACGAGGUCACCGACGUCAACUAGAGGCCUUCCUUCAAUAGGCGAAGGCCAACCACCCUCUUACAGAUUCACUCCUUUUGACGAGCUUAGGAGACAACCCUUACAGAAGUUUUCUCUCCUCUCUUUACAACUCAAACUUUGAAGAACAUAAAGAGGAGAACUAUCAGUUUUGAGCUCUAAGAAACACAGAAAGACAGCAAGAUUUUGAGUGUGUGUUUUGUGCUUUCAGUGCUGAAUGGGUGGGGUAUUUAUAGGCCCAAACCCAGUUCAAAUUUGGAGCUCAAAUCUGUCAAUUCCCGGAAUUUCGGGAUCAGGCGGUUGCACCUCCUGACUGGGGCGGUUGCACUGCCUGGCAGAGCUCGAAGACUGAGCCUCUGGGCGGUGCCACCUCUGUCAGGGGCGGUUGCACCUCUCUGCCAGAGCUCGAAGACCGAGCUCAGGCGGUUGCACCGCCUGACUGGGGAGGUUGCACCGUCUAGCAGAGCUCGAAACUUGAGCUCUGGCGGUGCUACCUCUUGACAGAAGAGGUUGCACUGCCCAGUCUCGCUCGGAGACUGGGCCCCGGGCGGUGCCACCUCUUGGCUAGGGCGGUUGCACCGCCCAGUCUCGCUGGGAGACAUAGCCUGGGCGGUGCUACCUCUUGGCUUGGGCGGUUGCACCUCCCACAGCAAUCAGGGUCCGAAUGGGUUAAUCCAUUCGGCCCAAUUUGAUUCGUUCAGGGGCCCAAUUGCCCUAAGAUUAAGCUCAUGGGAUCACCUCCCAUUUCUAACUUAAUCAAUGUGCUAACUACGAUUAUUUCCUAAGACAUAUUCUGCAGCUUGCUCCGGUGCGUCAAUCGUUUCUUCCGGCGAACUUCCGUCGAUCAUCCGACGAACCCUCGGUGAUCCUCCUGCGGACUUCCGGCAAACUCCUGGACUUGCGACGAUCCACUUGGCAAAUUCCGACGAGCUCCUCUGGCAAGCUUCUGGACUUCUCGGAUUUGUUCCCGCAGAACCUCCGACGACUGUCCAAACUUCCGUCGAGCUCUUGAACUCCCAACGUGAUCAUUGUCAUGACUCCGGCGCAACUCCUACUGCAUGUCUUUCUUCCAUCGUAGUUAAUCCUGCACACUCAAAAUAAAAACUUCGAUCGAGACAAUUAAUCCUAAGCAAUUAACCAAGUUAUCUGGCAUGUCAUUGGUCCCUCGACGCUUCGUCCGAUUCUUCGGCGCAUCGUCCUUUCCUGCAGCCUAUUGCCCAAUCGGUCAGUUGACUCCGCAACUCCGAUAUCCUUGGCACAAUACCCGCUCUUCUUGGCCCGAUGCCCGAGUCCACAGCCCGAAGCCUUCUGUCGAUACGUCGACCGUUCCACCGGCCCGACGUCCAAUCUUCUGACAUGUUCUUCCGGCACAACAUGAUUUUCCUGCUUUAAUUGUCUCAUCCAGAUCGAAGCAUCCUGCAUCACUCAAAACGCAGAUUAAAUCAUAAAUAUAUAUCAAGUAGUUUGAUCAUCAAAAUACGAGAUUCAACAAAUAAAUCAUUCUAAAAUUCCAAAAGAAAACUGUUAAUCAUCUUAGAAUAAUAUUCUAGUAGUUUCGGAGAAGUUUGGAUUGGUACGAUGAAAUUUCUCAAUUUAGAUUAAUGUGAUGAAAGUUUACUGAGUUAUACUCAUUUUUAAACUAAGUUGCAUUCCUUCACACAUUCAAUUUAAAAAAUACUUAAUUUUCAUGAUUAAUCAUUCUAAAAUUCUCAAAAAACUAAAAAAAUGUUACUGAUCAUCUUAGAGUCAUGCCCUUAAUAGUUUUGGAGAAGUUUGGAUUAGUUUAGUAUUCACCGAGAUAUACUCGUUUUUUAUUUAAGUUACACUUGUUUAUAGAUUCAACCUAAAAAAUAUCUGAUUUUGAUGAUUAAUCACUCCUAAAAUCCUCAAAAGUAGAAAAAAAAUACUACUAAUCAUCUUUAAAUCCUAUUCUAGUAGUUUCAAAGAAGUUUAGAUUGAUUUACUGAAAGUUCACCAAGUUAUUCUUGUUCACAUAUAUGAUCGAAAAUAUAUCUAAUUUUGAUAAUUAAUCACUUCAAAAUUCUUAAAAAAUAAGAAAAAUACUAUUUCACCAUAGAAUUAUGUCUUAAUGGUACUAGAGAAAAUCAAAUUGGCUUGAUGAAAGUUUACUAAGUUACGCUCGUUUUAAAACUAAGUUACACUCGUUCACAUAUUUAACUAAAAAAAUAUCAAAUUUUGAUAAUUAAUCAUUCUAAAAUCUUUAAAAAUAAAUAAAUAUUUCUAAUAGUUCGAAAGAAGUUUGGAAUGGUUUGGUGGAAGUUCACUAAGUUACACUUGUUUUUAAACUAAGUUACACUCUCCUUCACGGAUUCAACAUAAAAAAUAUAUAAUUUUGAUAAUUAAUCACUAUAAAAUUCUCAAAAAAAAUAGAAAAAUACUACUAAUUAUCUUAGAAUCAUAUCCUAAUAGUUUCAAAGAAGUUUAAACUAGUUUGGUGAAAGUUCACCAAGUUAUACUAAGUUUUUAUUUAAGUUAUACUAUUCAAAGUUUCAAACAAAAAUAUCCUAUUUUGAUAAUUAAUCACUUUAAAAUUAAAAAGAAAAGUACUCCUAAAAAUCUUAGAAUUAUAUCCGAGUAGUUCUAGAAUAGUUUGGAUUGUUUAUGUGAAAGUUCACUGAGUUACCCUCGUUUUUGAACUAAAUUAUGUGUUUCAAAAUAUUCCCCAUUUUUUAUAUUAAUGACACUAAAAUUCUCAAAAACUACAAAACAUCCUAUUAAUUAUCUUACCAAUAUAUGCUAAAACUUUUGUAGGAGUUUGAAUAGGUUUUAUAUUUUUUUUGAACUACGUUACACUCGAUCACAACUUGAAAGUUUCUUAUUUUUUAUAUUAAUGACCUUAAAAUCAUCAAAAAAAAAAUUCUUUGGAUUUUUUUUCUUCUAAAAUGAUCAAUUUUAUAAUCUUCUAUUCUCUUCUUAGCAUAAAUAUCAAAUAAUCUAAGAAUAUCAAAAUCAAUUAAUUUAUAGAUCUAUACACUUAUCUAAUCAGUAGGUAGACAAGGGAAUUCAAAAAUAUACCUAAUGUAAUUUUUUUUGACAUGAUUUAAUUUCAUAUCAUAUCAAACUAUGUCCUCAACAUAUUUUCCCAAAUUUUUUUCCUCUUAUUCUUCUCUUUCUUUCUCCUUUCGUUUUUCUUCUCCUCUUCUUCUUUCCUCUCAUUCUUCUCUUCUUCUUUUCUUUUCUUUCUUCCUCUCCUUUCUUCCCACGAGAUCCUCUCUCACUUUCCUCUCUUUUUUUCUCUUCCAUUUCUUUCUUUCUUCUCUAUUCUUUUAGCUUUCAUGUUUCUCCCUCCCUCACUCCCACGCAGCCUCUCUUUUACUUGUGAGAGAGGCGGCGGCACGGAAACCUUAAUUUUAUGCUUUUUAUAAUUAAUCUCUAACAGUUUAAUAUUUACAGUUAGAUCCUAAAAAUAUAAGAAUUUCACAAACAAAACUCGUUGGGUAGGAGAAGAAAAAAAAAAAAGGAGAAUGAGAUAAGAAGAAAAACAAGAAGAGGAAAGCAAAAUAGGAGGAGAAGAAGUAGUAUAGGGAGGAAGCCAAGGAAGAGAAGAGACGGUGGAAGGGAGAAGAUAGAGGCAAAUAAUAAGGAGGAGGUGGAGGUAAAAGGGAAGAAUGAGACAACGAAGGAGAGGGGGUGAAAAAUGAUUGAGAUGGAAGUGAAGAAGGUGAAAGAGGAGGAGAAGGAAUGAGAUGAGACGAAGGAAGAAAAAGAUGGGUGAUAUAGGGGUGGAGGCAAAAGCGAAGAAGAUAAUGAGGAGGAAGGAGGUAGAUGAAAAGGACAAGAAAGAGGUCGAGGGGAAGGUAACGAAGGAGGAGGAAUGAGAUGUGGCAUGUUUAAUUGAACGGGUUUAAAAGUUGGGUUGGUUGAUAGGUUAUUUUUAUUGUUAGAAGAAAAUUCUCCGAUAAAAACAAAUUAGAGAGGCAUCAUCAGAUUAAAAAUAAAUAAUAUUUUAUUUGAUAAAAAUACGCAAACAAGAUAGAUCAUUAAUUGGCUGACUGCUAGUUCAUAAUUACUGGUCCGAGCAAAUCUAUUAGAGGGCAUCUAAAUUUAAAAGUAACUUUCUUCUAAUAAUCACUUAAGUGACUUUAGAACGAAGAAAUAUGACCGGAUCCACGCAAGUGAAUCCAUCUAUAUCAAGCUCUAUCGUCUCCUCCUGCGACGUCAGAAAACAAGAUACCGACAAAUGACGCCAUCGCGUGCUUUCAAUAGAAGAAGAGAACCAAAGCUUUUCCGUAGCGGCGUAGGUUGAGUUGCAGGCAAUGAAUGGUCAAAAUUCCAAAGAUCAGUUACGACCAGCUGCUGUAGAAAAACACGCCACAACGACUCUUGCAAUAAUGCGCAAUGAAAUGCUAUGCAGAAGAGACAAAAGCCAGAUGGCAUCCAUCGGGAUGGUGGUUUCCUGUCGCUUCUGCUUGUUGGGUAUUCUUGUAAGACGACGUCAACUAAAGCACCACGUGUCACGGAGUCCACUUGGUACCGCAAAUGUAGGCGUCACAUCUUCAGCCCCGCACCUCUCAUGGAAGCCGCAGCUCGGAAGAACUCGCUCAACCCCUUCACCGACGACCCGGGUCCGUCCCUCCAUGCCUCUUUCAUCAGCCCCCUUACUUCCUCCACCCUCCUCCUUAUCUCCUUCCCCCUUUGUCCUCCGUGCAUCACCUCUUUUACCACCUUCUCCACCACCACCCUGUCCGCCUUGGAGCUCUCCAUGUUCCCCCUCGCUACCUCCACGCAUACCCCCAGCUCCUCCUCCAUGAUCUUCGCGUUGUACAGCUGAUCCCCCGAUAGGGGCCACGCGACGAUCGGCACGCCUCGGCUCAAGCUCUCCAGCACCGAGUUCCACCCGCAGUGGCUCAGGAACCCGCCCGUCGACGCGUGCGACAAGAUCUCCAGCUGCGGUGCCCACCCGUGCACCAACACCCCUGUCCCUUCGUCUCUCAUCCGCUCCUCGAACUUCUCCGGCAGCCACUCCGCCUUGAACUCCCCCUUGACAUCGAACCCCACAGGAGGCCUGAUGACCCACAAGAACCGGGUCCUGCUCGCCUCCAGCCCCAUCGCCAGCUCCUUCAUCUGCGGCGCGGCGAUGGUGUUCUGCGAGCCGAAUGAGAUGUACAACACGGAUGCCGGCGGUUGAGAAUCCAACCAUUUCAUGAUGUGAUCGUUACCAGCGCUGGCUGAAGAAGGGGAAGAGAGCACUGGACCGACGGGCCAAACGGGACACGGAAGCACUUUGCGAAGCAUCCGCAACCCAGUCUUCUCCACCUCUUCGACGGUGUUGAUGAUCACGGCGUCGGUUUCCGACGAGAGAGAUAUCUGUCCCUGAAGGAAGUCCGACCAAGGAUCGGUGCCGUCGGCCAUGAGCAGGUGCUUCGGGAGCUGCGAGCGGUGGAUGAUGGUAUCGGGGAACUCAGGUAGCGGGAACUCGUCGGAAUUUGUCUUUCUGUGGGGUAGGUGAGUCCACAGCGAGGAGUCAACGGUCGUGCCAUAAGCUCCGCUGGUGAAAAAUAUGGAAUGAAAAGCUCCGAAACGGCGCGCAACGUGGACGCUCCAUGCAAAGAAGUUAUCAGCGAUGAUGCAGAGAGGCGGACGGCCGUCUUCCUGCGUUAUGUCUUCGAUGAGCUGCUCGAAAGCGGGCUGGAGGGACCGGGAGGCAUGGAGGAGAGUGACGAUCUGGUGGAAGGGGAUGGCCCCGGUGGUCUCAGCUUCAGGGGGGAGUCCGUGGGCGGCGGGGGAGAAAGGAAUGGAGCGAAGUCGAAUCGAAGAGAGGGAGGGAGGGCAGGACGAACUUUUAAUCUUUUGUAUGUUGAGAGGGGUGCUGACCAGAGUGACGAUGAGAGUGGGACAACGGCGGCGGAGGAGCUCGGCGAGGGCGACGAAGGGAGUGAUGUGACCCUGGGCCAUGAAGGGGAAGAGAACCACGUGUUGGCGCUCGCCGUCCUCCAUUGUUGCAAGGAUCAGUGUUCAGAGUGCGCUGUUGGGCGAGCCAUGGUGGAGGUCAUGUACUAGCUUUGGAUGUGGCAGUCAAUCAUGUCCACUCUUUUGUUUUGUUUUUCCUUUUUCCUUUUCUUUAUUCAUUGACAGGUCAUCAAAAUUAUAAGUUCAUCGUAUUUGGAUUCAGAUCGUCCGAGUAACUCAACCCGAUGACGUCCAUGUGCAAUUAAUCUAGUGGCUUCGCUGCCAUAUCCAUUGACGAUCAGAGAAAUAACAAGCAUAAUUUCUACCGACAAGCUUGGCAGCUCCAUCGCUUUUGCUAUAAGAAUCGCAAUUACAGCAGCACUUACGUCAGCUUCCUCGAUAAGGACGCAGACAAGCAUUAAUAUAUUUAUAUACGGAGCCUCGCACAGGAAUCUCCGCAAUCCAGCCUACAAGACUUCUAUUGGAUAAGAUAAAAUUUUCAGAUCGCACGGGAGAAUUUAUCGAAGAAUACCUCGUUUCCAUAAAUAAAUAAAUAUGUUCUACGGCGAAUGCGGAGAUAUCGAUAAGGAUCACAGUGACUGCGGAGUCGUGGCGAGGAGGAGAAUUCUUUACUUAUUAUAUUAUAUAUUUUUGAAUAUUAUUUGGAUAUUAUAUAUAUAAUAUUCAAAUAAUAUAAAAAUAUAUAAUAUAAUAAUUAAAAGUAAGAGUCGAAAAUUAUGUCGAAAGGCUAUUUUGUCGAAAUUGAAAAUGAGGAUUUGUCAAAUGUGUGAAAGAAUAAACUUUAUGGAAUAAGGAUUGGAUAUCAUAUUAAAAGAUGACGAAAUUGAUAUGUCAGAAGAUAAAAAAUUAAUAAAUAAUAUUUUAUUAAUAUUUUUGAUAGUAGUAAUGACUAUGGUAAUACCACCUAAGACGAUGAUGGAAUUAUGACAUCAAAGUUAAGAUAGUAAUAUCACUUUAUAUCAAUGUUAGUACUGCUUCUAUUUCAAAAUUUUAGAUAUUUAAAUUUUUAAUCAUAUUUUUGAAAUAUUAUGGAGACUAUAAAUACUCUGUUCAGACUUUGUUGAUGGUGCAUCUAUUCCUGAGGUUAUGAAAUAUUAUAAUUCUCUUUUUGAGUUUUGUUUGAGUCUUCUCCACUCUUUUGAGCGUAGUUAUGAUAUAAAGUAUUAGAUAUGAGAAGUCUAAUAUAAAAUAGUGAGUAUGAAUGUUCUUUUCUAAACCCAAAAUGAAAAAAAUAUUGUAAAUGUUGCUUAUCUUCAUCUGAUAGAAAUAAUGUCAGUAAUUAAUGUUGAUGGUAUCGAGGGAAGAGAAAUUAUGAGUGGAUGUAGGUUGGAAAGAUCAAACCACUAUAAAUCGAUUUGAAUUCUUUCUUUUACUUAUGAGUUUUUAUCUUUCUUACUUAUUUUUAUUCACUUUACUUAAAACUCUUACUCACAUUCAACACUCGGUUAAUUAUAUUUUCGAAAUGUGUUGUUUUCUUGAUCGAGUUUUUAAAUCAAUUAAUGCAUAACGUCUUUUUGAACUCAACAAGCAACUACAAAUAAGAUAAUAAUUAGAAUAUUACUUUGUUUUCAUGUCAUGUUAUUAUGCUAAAAUGCAUUUGAAGAGCCUUUAGUGGGGGCAAAAGUAAGACAUUUGACAUGCUUCUCAUAGAUCUAGUUGAAAGACUCUUAAGAAGUUUCGAAUGUGACCCAACCCAACUAAGUGUGCUUUCAAGGUUGGCUCUGAAAAAUUUUUAGGUUUCAUAAUCCAUCAAAUCAGAAUUGAUAUAAAUUUAGAGAAAGUGCAAACCAUCUCGGAUAUGAAGCACCAUCAUCUAUUAAGACAAUUUAGCAACUAACCAAUCAAAUCGUGAUUUAUGAUUGUCAUUCUUUUCCUAUCAAUCACACACUACCAUCAAUGCCAAGUCCUACUCGUUCGUCAUGGAGUUAACGACCACAAAAGACCACAUCCUUUGACUUUUCACCUUGGAUCUUAGAUGUCAAUGGGUCAGUUACAGCCGAAGGAGGUAUUGGGCUCAUCCUCCAGGAAGCAAAAAGAAUAUGAGCACUCCCUUCGCUUUGAGUUUGAAGUAACCAAUAAUGAAGCUAAAUAUAAGGCUCUUAUGUUGGGACUUCACAUUAGCAAAGAAAUGCUGAUAAGAAAGUUGAAGAUAUAUAGUGAUUCAUAGUUAAUAGUCAAUUAAGAUAAAGGAAUCUAUGAAGCUAAAGUUCCAGUGAUGACUCUCUAUCUCAUGGAGGCAAAGCGAGUGACCGCUGACAUUACCCUUUUUUAGUAUUGAGCAAAGUUUUCGGGUGCACAAUAUAGUGGCUAAUGCUUUAUCGAAGUUGGCUUAGGAGCUCCACCAUCUACCAAGAGAGUUGCAUUUCAUAAGCAAAGUCAAAAGAAGUAUCCAUAAAGAAGGGAUUGCAACAACUUCCCUUGAUCCCACCUGGAUGGGCGGAAUACUGCGAUAUCUAAUAAUCGGAGAUUUGCUAGCAGAUCUCAAGCAAGCUAGGAGAGUUCGAAGGUAGUCACCUUGGUUUUGUAUUAUAAACAAUAUAUCGCAUCAUAUUUCUCUCACCCAACUUCUUUUCUGCUAUCUACACCCCGAAGAGGCUACUCGAGCCUUAUUUGAAAUCCAUGAAGGAAUAUGUGGGGAACACGUUGGUGUUCAAGAUCCUUAGGUAAGGUUACUAUUAGCCCACAUUUCGCCAAGAUGCGAUAAAAUAUGUACAGUGAUGUGAUAGAUGUCAAUGCAAUGCUUAUGUUCAAAGGUUCCCAAUUGUAGAAUUGUUCCCUUUAGAUGUAGCCUAGCUAUUUGCACAAUGGGGACUUGAUAUCUGAGAUCAUUUCCCAUCGGCAUUGGGACAAUGCAAAUUUAUAUUGGUUGGUGUGGACUACUUUACUAGAUGGGUUGAAGCCAAACCAUUAGCUUCGAUCUAUUAAAAAAUAAGUGGAAAACUUUGUUUGGAAGAAUAUUAUCAUCAAAUUUGGUAUUCCAAGAGUCAUCAUCACCGACAACAAGAUCCAAUUUAACAACUUUAAGUUUAGAGACUUCUAUGAAUCAUUUGGAAUCUAUCUCUAUUUUAGCUCGAUAGCAUACCCCCUAACUAACAAAUAUGCUAAAGUUACCAAUCGAACCAUUCUUGAAGGAUAAAAAAAAUGAUAUUAAAAGUUAAAGAAACCAUGUUGAUGAACACCUAAGUAUCCUAUGGAGCUAUCGGACUACUCCAAGAGUUCUGACUGGAAAAUCUUUAUUUUUCCUUACAUUCAAUGCAAAAGUAAUGGCUCUAGUUGAAAUUAUUCUACUGAUAUCCGAACAUAAAAAUAUGACUCAAAAAGCAUUGGACGAGGGGCUUCGAGUUAACUUGGAUCUAUUUGAUAAAGUUAGGGUGAUAGCACAUCUUCGAAACUUAGUUUAUAAAAGAACAGUGACAAAGGCCUUCAACUAAAAGUUUCGGUCUUAGCAUCUCAAUGUAAGAGAUCAAGUCUUUCAUAAGGCCAAGAUAAGUGAUCCAACCUAUUCAUAUGAAAAAUUAGCACCCAAUUGAGAAGGGCCUUAUAAGGUUGUUGAGGAGGUUCGUUUGAGAAUUUAUCAUUUGUAAACCCUCGAGGGGUUGGACAUCUCCGAGACUUGGAUCAUGUAGCGGAGAAAGUACUAUCCUUAAGAGCAUAUUAAUCUUCAAUGUAAUUAUACUUUAAUAUAUACAUUUUUAUGGAUUAAAUUUUUUUCUAUUCCUCUAAAAUAAAAUCUUUACAUUAUGUUCAGUUUGGCCCACACAUCAAAAAGAGCCAUUCAACUAAUUUAGAGGGGUUGAGAACGAUAAGCAUAAACUUAAAGAACCGACUUGAAUUGAACUCCUACUAGUAACUAGUCUGAUCAUUACAAAGCUUAAAGCACUGUCUUGAUUGUCGAAGGGGCUAUAGUCGAAAAUAUCAUCGAUUUAGUUUUAUAGAAACUUAAUCUUACAAGGGAUGAUCUAGAAGAAAACAUCUAAAAGAGAAAAAUCUACAAACCCAAAUAAAAUAUUAGAAAUUAAAAGCUAAGAAGAUUAUAUCAAUAUUAAAAUAAACAGCACUACCAUAAAACAUCCAAACAAUAUAAAUUUUAAUGAAUUAUCUAAUAUUUUUUUAAGAUGAAGGCGACAUAAAUUUCUACAAAUAAUUAUUUCAAUUAAUGAAUUUCAUGAUUAGCAAUUAUUCAAGAAAUUUGAAUAAAAGUAAAUUUGAGACAAAUAAAAUAUCAUAGUCGGUUAAGUCAGAUAAGAUGGAUCACUCACAUCGAUAAUUAUUAUGUUAGCAACUAUUUUUGUCAGAUAAUUUCGUAAAUGAUGAAUGGUUUAAAAAAUUGACAAAAUUAAUUCGAAAGCAAAUCAAGAUCUCAUAACUAAUUGAUUUAUUACAAGAUGGAUCGCUAGCAUGGAUAGUAUUCUCAUAUCUUUCCGUGAAUGCUAACAACAUCACUAUCGAUUUUAUAAUUCACAUAAUAUUAAAUUUUUAAUUUUUAAUUUUGAAUUUUGAAUUUUUAAUUUUUAAUUUUUAAUUUAGAGAGUGAAGGUAGAAAUAUUAAAAUAAUGAACUUUUUGUUUAGUAAAUAUGAGGCUUUAGAGUCAGAAUUAAAGGCGUUGUGGUAAAUGAAAGAUUUAGAAUUUAUGAAACUAAGAAAUAUUGAUGUACAAAAUUUGAUAAUUUAUAUAAUUUUAAUAUUUUUAAUGAAUUAUUGAAGUUUAAUAUCACCAUCCCAAAUUAUUCUCAAGAGACUCGUGACAUUUGGGUAACCUCGAUAGUAGGCAAUCAUGACAUGGUACUCACAAAGCUAUGUUUCUUCUUCCCUUUGAUAACAAUCAAAAUUUCUCACAAUAACAACCUCAGUAACAGUACUUCAUAUUUAUACAUGUUUUGAAAUGUGAAUUUUCCUUAACGGUGAAGGAUUUUCCUCAACAGAUUUACGAUAUCUCAUCAUGUACUUAGGAAGAUCUUGACUAUUGUUGAGGUUGUUAACACGAAAGAUUUUAACUGUUAUUAUCCUUCACGAGAGAGGCACGACGAAGAACAGACGGAACCAUGAUUGCCACGGGCAACCUGUGGUGUUUCUUCUAAAAUGAUAUGUUAUUUAAAUUUAUAUGAAUUAAAGAGGCUCAUAUGAGGCCAGCAAAUCUUCUUAUACGAAGAGAGGAGAGGACUUGGGACCAGUGGAACCACGAGAAGGGAGACAGUCACCGAGAGAGGAUUCGGAAGGACAAGCGAUGAUCUUCCGAGGACCACAGGGACAAUGUGGAGAAAACGUGCGUUGUCGGGUAGAGCAGUAGAGGAGAGAGGAGCAGAAGAAAUCUGUGGACCCAAAGCUUCUCACUCUUCUUGUUCUCAAAUUUUUAAUUAUUAUUUUGGAUAAAAAAAAUCUUUUGAUUUCUGUUGAUAUUUUUAUUUCUAUUAAUCAGUAGAUAUUUGUAAAACAAAUUUGUAAUUUGCUUUUGUAUUUUUUAAAAUAUAUAAAUCGAAAAAAUAAAUUAUUUCUCUUGUUUGACGUUUUAAAAAAAACUAUGAUAAAAAAACUCAUAUAUUUUUUAUUUUAUUUAUAUUUAAACUUUGGAUUUCUUAAUCAAGCAUCCCUGAUUUCCAUCGAGGCUAAUUGCUAUGUCAGAGUAUCAUAGUGAUUAAGAUUAAUUAUUAAUUAUUUAAAAUUUUUAUUAUUUAUUUAAAAUAUUAAUUAGAGCAUCGGAGAGAUUACGUCGAGAAUAUUAUUCGAUCUCGACCAUCGUGCAUAUUAAUUAUUGAACUAGCAUUCAAACCACAUCAGACUAGUUAAUUAUUGAGCUUUUUGUUACAUGACAGCAUAGUCUGGGCUGCGAAAAAGGAUUUGGAAUUCGCUUUUAUAGUAGGUGUUUAUUUUUGUAAAAUUUACUUAUUUUUGGAUCAUGAUUUAAUCUUGUUCUAAUUAUAAUGGUGAUAUAGGAAUAAUGAUACCUCCUUACCAUAUGACCAACACUCGAGGCUGACACUUCACUUUCACUUGAUCGACACCUAUAUGAUCGACACAUCAUCGUGGUAGUCGAUUUCUUUUUACCAUGUGUCUGACACCUCAAAGCCUCACUAUCAUGUGGCUCAUAUCUCGGUACCACAUGCCUAACACUUAAUUGCUAUUUGUCCAAUGUGACUUCUCUCUCCACACGUUACAUCGCUAUAUAUAUAUACCGACAACUUUUGAGUUACUUUUACGAGACCAAUAGCAUUUAUUGGCUAUCGUCCAAUAUCAUUUAUAUGGUACAGUUUGCUAUGUGAGAUGUCCCGUCAUAGUAAUUCCAAUAGUAGAGGAUUUGUCCACGGAGUUGAAUCGAAUUGUUUCUAUACUUAGUUGAAAGAUAGUAAACAAACAACUUAGAGAAUGAAAGAUAAUACACCCAUAUGCACUAAUUUGAUUUUAUUAGACUACUCAUCUUACAUAAUCGGUAAUUUUAAUUAAUCGAUAAUAAUUUAUUUUAGUCGAUCGACAAACUCGGCACAUCUCCCAUGGAAGCCGCAGCCCGGAAGAAGUCGGCCAACCCCUUAAACGAUGACCCAACUCCCUCCCUCCAUGCCGCUCUCAUCAGCUCCCCGACUGCCUCCGCCCUCCUCCUCAUAUCCUUCGCCUUCUCUCCCCCGCACAUCACCUCCCUUAUCACCCUCUCCACGUCCGUCCGGUCUGCCUUCGAGCUCUCCAUGCUCCCUCUCGCCACCUCCACGCACACCCCCAUCUCCUCCAUCAUCUUCGCGUUGUGUGGCUGAUCCGCCAACAACGGCCACGCCACGAUCGGCACGCCUCGGCUCAAGCUCUCCAGCACCGAGUUCCACCCGCAGUGGCUGAGGAACGCGCCCGUCGACGUGUGCGACAGGAUCUCCAGCUGCGGCGCCCAUCCGUGCACCAACACCCCCGUCCCUCGCUCUCGCAUCCGCUCCUCGAACUUCUCCGGCAGCCACUCCGCCUUGAACUCCUCAUUGCUGUCGAACUCUGAAGGCGGUCUGAUGACCCAUAUGAACCGUGCCUCGCUGGCCUCAAGCCCCGUCGCCACUUCCAUCAUCUGCGACGCCGUGAUGGUGCACAGCGAGCCGAACGAGACGUACAAAACGGACGCCGGUUGUUGUGAAUCCAACCAUUCCAUGAUACAUCGAUUUUGGCUAGCGCUGGCAACAGAAUGAGAGGAGAUCAGCAGAGGACCGAUGGCCCAGGUGGGAACAAGAAACAAUUUACGCAGCAUCCGCAGUCCUGUGGCCUCCAUCUCGUCUACCGUGUUCACAAGCAUGGCGUUUGUCUCCUUCCAAUGAGAUAUCAGUCUCUGAUAGAACCCUGAGGUCGGAUCGGUGCCGUCGCAGAGAAGCAUGAAUCUCGAGAGCUGCGAGAGGUGGAUGGUUGUGUCGGGGAACUCGGACAGCGCGAACUCAUCGGAUCUCGUCUUCAGGUGAGGUAGGUGAGUCCACAGAGAGACGAAUACGGCCAUGCCGUAAGCUCCGCCGGGGAUGAAUACGGAAUGAAACACUUCGUACCGGUGCGCGACGUCCGCGGUCCACGAGAGGAGGAAGUCGGCGACGAUGCAGAGCGGAGGACGGCCGUCUUCUCGAGCUAUGUCAACGAUGAGCUGGUCGAAGGCGGGCAGGAGGGAUUCGGAGGCGACGAGGAAAGUAAGUUUCUGGCGGUUGGGUACAGUGGCGAAGUUCUCGGCGUCAGGAUGGAGGCCGUGGGCGGCGGGGUCGAAGGGGAGGGAUCGAAGACGGAUGGAAGAGGGGAAGGAGGAGCUACGGAUGCAUUGGAUGUGGAAACGGGUGUUGACGAGGGUAACGGUGAGGGCGGGGUGGUGCCGAACGAGGCGGUGGGCGAGGGCGAGGAAGGGGUUGAUGUGGCUCGGAGUCAUGAAGGGAAAGAGAACCACAUGCUGACUCUUGAUGCGCUCCAUUGAUGACACAAAUUACAGGCGUCGGGCUGCCGAUUGUUGCGGUGGUGGGGGGAUGAUUUAUAAAGAGAUUCUCGAUGGCUUUGGACUGUAGUCGUGUCACACCAAAGAAAUCGAUUGACGCCACCAGGCGACAUGGCUCAGCCACACAUGGGAAUAGGUUUCCCCUCCCCCUCCCCCUCCGACGAUAGCAGCCCACAGUAUCGGAGAUGAAUUGAGUGCAAACGUUAGCAGCAGCGACUUGGAACUUGACAACAUCUUUCUUGGGAGCAUCGAGGUGGAGCUGUCCUGUUGACUGUCAUUGUUUUGUGUACGACAUGCAUUCAUUGGUUCACGAUUGAAAUAUCUUUCAUGCAAUUGCUGACUUUGAGACCUCUUUUUCUUUUGCUUUUUUACUUCUUAAUGUAUUUUAAAUUGAUUAUUGACGAGGACAGAACAUAUAGUACCAAAUAUAAUGGUCCAUUAAUAUAUCUUCAACUCAGAUAUCUCACAGUUACGUCGGUGUAGCACUUUCGGACAAAUCGAGACGUGCCAUAGUACCUUGCUUACAUUAAACAUGCAUCUACACAUUUGCAUUGGUUACAUCAUCAAGAUGAUGAUAAGAUAGUAUCAGCUUGACCCUCGGUGUUAGAAUAUACUAAACGUUAGUUUCAUGCUGCGGAUUCACUGUAUUGCAAUAAUGGUCGUCCUCUCAAAUAGUGUACGAUCUGAAGAGGCAAUUGUUGGGGCCCUCGUUGAUCUCGAGUCAUGAUUUCUUCGACACACCUUCACCCAUAAAAAAGUGACUCUCUCCUUUGUUCCAUUAGAUGGACGGCCGCCCCGCAAAAUCCGGGAAGUCAUCCUCAUCUUUUUUUUUUUCUCUUUAAAUAUUAAAUUAGACAAGAAAAAGAGAUAAAAGCAAUCACAUAAACGAAUAAAAUAUUUUAUGUUUCACUCAUGAUUUUCUACAACUUUAAAAACUUUAUAUAUUUCAUUAUCUAACAUAUGAGGUUUAUAUAUUAAUUAUAUUUAAAAUAAAUUAUUCUUUUUUAAAAUAAUUUUUAAAAAUAAAUAAAUAAUUUAAUUUAUCAUUUAAUUUCUUCUCUUGAUACAAUGAAUCUCUCUUGAUAUAAUGAACCUCUUGAUGAUACCUUAGCAAAUUUAAUUUCAACACUAAAGAUGUACCCUCUCGGGAUGAUGCUAAGAGUGAGCGAAUAAGAGUAAUCUCUACCAUUGGUUUUCAAUAAAUCUUUCUUUUUUCUUUUUAUUUUAGGUAAAUCUUCACGUGCCUAAAUGCAAGAGCCAAAUAUUAGAGAGUCAGCAAGGCUGUCUAGAAUUUACCAUAAAUAUCUCUCUUUCCCUUUUAUUCAUGCUUACCAAGCCCAUGUCGCAAUGCAAUACCCUCUAAUCUUAGCAUAAGAGAAGAAUUAUUGGUUGAAACUCAACAACAUUUCUCUCUCUAUUUCAUAGACAAAUCUUUAUGAACCUAAGCAUGGGAGCGAGAUGACAGGGUUUGGUUGGAAUCCAUCGAGCAACACAAUGUAGGUUGUGGCCAGACUAAAUAUUUUUAUUGGUGAACGGGAUCACUAUUUACAAUUCUAUUUUAAAAUGUUUUUAAACUAUCCUUUGCAUUGUAAGUAAAUUUUUUUUUUCUUCUUUCUCCUCCUCGAAGACCAACGACGUCGAGAGAAUAGUGAGCAGGGUCGGACAACUUGUCGACAACAACGAUCAGCAUCGACAACGACAAUGAAGGUCGAUCAUAACAACUAACAACGAGUUGUGAGAAAAAAAAAAAGUAAAAUAAGUAGUAUUGAGAUUAAUAAUAAUAAAAAUAUAUUAUUAUUAUUAUAUAAAAAAAUAUCAAUAGUAAAAAUAGGUGCUUCAAGUUUUAUAUUAAGAAAAACUCUCGCCUACACCUUUGAUUAGGUAACAAAUGUAAAUAUUCAUAGUAGUAAAGCAACUAGAAAUCAUGAUAAUAAUAGAUUAUCUCUUAUAGUUAACUAUCGUUAGCAUCCCGAUCUCUAUACUUUAAAAAGUAACAUUGAGAUCCAUAUAUUUACGAAAGUAAAAUAUUUAACCUUAAUUCUCCUUACGUUGUUAACUUCGUUGACGAAAAAAAUGCACUUGUUAUUAUGUGUAAAAAUGACAUGAAUGAAAAGGAUAAAAAUAUAAUCUCACUAUCUUUAAACUAUUAAUUUUAUAUAAAUUUUUUUUGGCCAAUUUCCUUAUCCCCAUUCUCUUUUCAACCUACUCGUCCGUCCAUCGUAUCUAUCGCUCGUCACUUGUCCGUCGCACCUACUCUCCGGUCAUGUGUCUACUGUUGAUCGUAAAUUUCAAGAAGAUACAUAAAUACUAUUAAACACAAGUUACAAUGUUGAAUGUGCAAGAAAAAGUAACUACUUCGUUGUACCAACAUCAAUAGCACGACGAUAGGAACUACGCAAGAUAUCACAAUAAUAGUUGGUGCAGUUAAGUGGCAUCAAAACAAACAUUCCUAUUGCCCUCGAUUCGACCAUUUGAAGGAUUUCAAGAUCAAUUAACACCUCGGAGAGAAAAUGGUGAUGAUUUGCAAUGAAUAAUUUGUGGCAAGGAUUCACCAUGAUUUCAUUCAUCUUCGCGUUGAAUGAUAAGAAGGCAUAUAACAAAGAGAGAGGAGGUUUCGAGAAGGAAAUAAACCUUAAAAGUAAGUGAUCCAUUCUGUAAUUUUGUAAGGCGAGAAGAAGGUACUAAUCCACUCAGUUCAUCGUUUGCCAAAUCUCUGCAAGCAGCUUCGUGAUGUUAAGCCUAAAUAGUUUCAGCAAAGGAAUCAUACAAGUCAUUAGGAAUACUUACACUUCAGUGAUGGCAGAUAUGCUAGAAAAGCUGGUACUGACCCUGUCAAUUUAUUGUAAGAAAAAUCCCUGCAUAAUCGAAUACAUGUUGCCAAGAUUACACUGCGAAGCUGAUAUCACCAACUCCAGAAGAAGCACUUACAAGUAUUGGAUUUCACUGAGGUUGGCAAAAGAAGUUGAUAUUUCGCCUCUCAAUGCGCAUAUUUCCUUUUGCUUCCUAAAAUUCCUUCGAAACUCUUUGAAUCAUGUUAGCAUCAUUAUGAAUAUAAAUUACAUCAUCUAUAAAUAAAUAAGCAAUUAAUAUCCUUUCUACUUCUCUAUAUUUUACAAAUAAACUAUGUUCACAAGGAUAUUUUUCAAGUCAAUGUCUUAAGAUAUGCAUCGAUUUGACAAUAUCAUAUUUUGGAUGCUUGACUUAAUCCAUAUAAUAUUUUUUUUUUAUAUUUUAGCAAAAAUUAUUGCUCACUAUAAAUAACUCAUCAUGCAAAAAGAUAAAUUUAAUAUGCAACCGAUAAACAAUCAAUUAUGCAAUUAGUGCAAACACCUCAUUAUUCAAUUUCCAACAAAUUCAAUACUAUAGUCUUAUUUAUACAUAAAAGACUCAAAUCUUUUCGGAACGAAGCAUUUAGGCAAAAAAAUUAUGAUUUGGUAUAAAUAAACAACAUUAUUUUUUACUAUUUCAUAAUUUUUAAUAUAUAUUAGAUGUUAAUGAAACACAUUUGCUUCCAUCAUCAAUCAAUAUAUUCAGUGCAUAAAGACCAAGUUUUCCAAUACAUUUUAUUUAAAAAAUAAUAAUUUUUAUUUAACAUGAUUUAUUUUUAUUACAAAAGAUAAGUGAUAAAGGCGAGACUCGAAGAUAUUAGCCUUUAUAGGUCAUUAUUAAAUUUAAUUUAUAAUAAUCCCUUACAUAUUAUAUUGUCUUGGGAAUUUUACAUAUAUAUUAAGUUCAAAAAUAACAUAUAUGCCCUAUAAAUUCUAUCGCGACAUAUACAUUCCUCCGUAUGUUAGCACUCAUUGUUGUGGUAAAUAACCUGGAGCCGUGGCCUCGGGGCCGACACGGCUCGGUUCGGGUCCGAAUGACGGGGGAUCUUCCCGUGACGGGUUUCGAGUCCGCCGAGGUGGUCGGUUACGACGGUCCGAUUCGGGACGGGGUUAGUCGUCUCCGCUGGUGGGGCCUCCUCGGCGGGGGACGCACCCCGUCUUCUUUCCUGCACACAGGUCAGGAGGCUCGACCCGACCCCUCCGACGAUCGAGUCAGUAGAUAGUGGAGGGGGUUUCGGAAGAAGAAGAGUUUGAGGUGUCUCCCUGGUGUAUUCUCUCCUCCGUCCUCCUCUCCCCGCUCGUUCAGAGUGCGAGGGUAUUUACAGGGAGGCUUACUGUUUCCUGAUGUGCCCACUUACAGGGGACAGGUUGGUUGCGUCUGACAUUGGUUUGGCGUGACGUGAAGAACUGAGCCUGAGCAGGUGUUAAUGCACCUCAGCCUGUGUUCCGGUCCGUUUGACCAAGCGUCGUCACGUCGUUCGAGACGUGAGACGUCAUCUGACGUCAGCCGGGUCUUAUCAUAAUUACUAUCCUCAUCAUCCAAUAAACUAUGGUUGAUCACUACUAAUCAUGUUUAUCAUCGAUGUUAAAGAAUAAAAAUGACAAUAUAAUUAAAAUUUGUUUAUCAUCAACUAAAGAGUUGGAUGUUCAAAAGUAAUUGACUAUUUAAGGACAAUGGAGGAGGAGGAAGAAGAAGAAGAAAAGAAUAAGAUGCCAUCGCCAUGAUAUGAACAUGCAAUAAUACUGCAUCUUCCUCACAAGAAUCCAACAGUUGUUUACUAGAAAAGCUCUAAAGUGCUGCAGUCGUAGUUAGGUUUGAUGGGCAAUCAAGAUUCUUGAUGAGGACAAGAAUAGGUUGAAAGUCAAUUCACAGGUGAAGAAAAAUCUUGAUGAGGACAAAAGUUCAAUAUAAGUCAAUAGUUAAGUAAAACAGUGAUUGUUGAUGAGGACAAAUACAUCAUAAUUUUCAAUAUACAAGUCAAAGAUCGACCCUUUAAUUAUUGAAGUAUAAAAGAGAGAGAGAGUUGUAUUUUUUUCUCUAAAAAUUCAUAUGACGUAACUAAAAAUAAAAACCCAAUUGGAUUUUCUUUUUAUUUUUGUGACUUAUAAUAAGCCUUAAAACUCGCUAAAUAAAUAAAUAAAUGAGUACCAAUUAAGUAAAGCUAACAUUUUCUAUGGCUAAAAUAUGGAAAAUAUGUAGUCCUCCCUCAAAGGCAAAAGAAAAAACAGUUCUCUAAGAGAGAGAGAGAGAUUUAUUGUCUAUUUAGUCUUUUCUAGAGAGCGGUGGGUUACAUCACCGGAGAAUUAACGAGGGGGGCCGGCGGUGGCGCCCCGGCACUUCUCCGCUGGCGGGUAGACCUCUGGCGACGCAUUUCAAGGAUCUGCCGGUGGAAGUUGGAGUGAUCGGCGGGGGAAAACGUGGGGCUGCUCGCUGGCCGGUACUCCGGCACGAGGCGACCGGACUUAUACCUCACGCCGCACGCGUUGCACAGCGUCUUGGGCCCUUCCGGCCCCGCCCGCCACUGCGGCGUCUCCUCCGCCUCGCAGUGGCGGCACCGCCGCCUCUCCACGGCCGUCGACUUCCCCGCCACUGCCACGGUGGGAGGUUCGGGCGAGAGGCCGGUCAGCACCCUCCGGCGCGGCCUCCGCCCUUUGCUCCUCGGUCGAACCGGCGCGGAGAAUGAAGUCGCGGCGGAGAAGGCCGAGACCGGACUCUUGCGCUCUGCCACCGCGCCUACGGUGGCGCCGUCCCAGCCCUCGCUGCCUCCGCUGCCGGUGCGCGGGCGGGAGGGCAUCUCGAACGACGUCUCCAGCGCCGGAAAUGCGUCCUUGUUCGCGAGCCACUCGAGCUCCUCUUCCUCCUCGUCUCCUCCGCCUUUCCCCUCGGUCGGCAAGCCCUAGAAAGGUGCCACCAAACGCAAGAGAAAAAGAAAGAAAAAAAAUCAGAUUUUUAUCAUCUUCCAAGCAUAAAAAUCAGAUUUUUCGGGAGGUCGGUGCCAAACUGGAAGCCCUUCGACGGAUGGCUCAAAGAACUCCUGCAAAAUUUGGGCCUGAUGCUUCAACUCGGCGACGGACGGAUGGUAAGGGUCAGAGGGUAACUCAAGGAGGAGGACCUCGUCCGCGAAGCACGCCUCCCCCGCCGUCGCCGGCGCCAUUUCCAACGUCUCCACCAUCGCCUUCUCCGACAGCUCGGAAGCAGCGGAGACCAACGAGAGAUAAAAGGCAGCAGUUUUCUUCCUACUCUUUUAUUUUCCUUGUUCUUUUCUUUCUUUAUGUCUUUUUGGCGGUCUCUGUUUCUUGCUUCUUCCUGUUCACCUUUUAACCAUUUCGGCUCUGUUUUGGGUCUCUUCAUUGCCAUUAAUGUCUGAGAGCGAUUCGUGUACGCGUGGGAACAAAUCGAUGUUGUGAGGCGAGUCAUUGUGGAUGUUUUACUACCCAACGGAGGAUGAAUUUGCUCGGGCAUUCGUGUGAACCAUAUCGAGAUAAGGAAAGUAUUUAAAUAUCAAAUGAUGAGAAGAGAGAAGGAAAAUUGUAUUUGGCAGUGCUUUAGGCAUUCAGAUUCGCAUGCAUGGGAUGAGGUGAAAGGGUGCUUCUGCCGAGGAGUGUAUCAUGUUGUGUGAAUGGAUGUAAUGUAAAUGGUAAUAUCACGUUAAAGUUUUCACGGCGGAGAGUGAGUUCAUAACAUACAAAUUUAUUUUGAUCAGUUGUGUUUUUAUACCACCGAUGAUGUUAAAAGAGGUUUGAAAUGAUGAGAUUUCACCUUUAAGACUAAUUCAUAUUUGGAUUCUUGCUUCUUAUAUUAUCUUUUUUUCUAACCAUGUUUAAUUUUAAUUUUAAAUUUUUUUUAUUGUAUCGGUUUAUUUUUAGUAUGAUUAAGUUUUAUUUUAACCCUAUGAUUUUAGUCAUGGAGCAUUUAAGUCUUUAUGGUUUACUCGUGUCUAAAAUAAUCUUUAUAUUUUUCAAAAUGUGGUAUAUAAGUCUCUCUCGUCAAGUUUAAGUUAAUAAAUGUUAGAAUCUACUUACGUGAUAUAUUAACUCAUAAUAAACUAUUAAUAUAAUGAUACGUAUAAUUUGAGUUUUAAAAAAAUUAAGAUCCAUUUUAACUCUUGUGAUUUUGGUCAUAGAUCACUUAAGCCCUUAUAGUUUAUUCAUGUCUAAAAUAACUUUUAUACUUUUAAAAAUAUAACAUAUAAGCCUCUCCCAUCAAGUUUGAGUUAACAAACGUUAGAGUUUACUUACGUGGCAUGCUGACUCUUAAUAAAUCAAUAAUAUAAUGACAUAUAAUUUAAGUUAAAAAAUAAUUGAGAUCACCAUCAAUGGCGAGAGGAUGCAUUGUCGCGCGAAGGUGACCACCAACAACAACACUGAGUCAUUGUUGCAUGACAAAGCAUUGUAUGCAUGUAGCCUCUCCGACGUUGAUGACAAGUUCAAGAGCUUUUGAUUUUGUCUCAAGUGGAUGUGCAUCAACCAAUCUGACGUUAUGCAGGUAGUGGUCUUCUAGUCCCUCUUUAUCCUCCUAGCAUCUUCGUCCUUACCGCCUCCCAAUUUGUCCUCUCCUACGCCACACCUACAAUGUAUUGGUCCAACUCUCCCUCACUUCCGCCUCCGGUCUCUCCUACCUCUACCUCUCCACCUUCAUCCGUCGCUACGGCCUCUGACGCUUUCUCUUUUUCGACAAGAUGAAUCUUAAUUAUUUUUUAAACUUAAAUUAUACUUAUCAUUAUAUGCUACGUUUUUAAAAAUAUAAAAAUUAUUUUAAAUACUAGUAAGCUAUAAGAGUUUAAGUGAUCCAUAACAAAAAUCAUAACGAUUAAAAUGAAUCUUAAUAUUUUUUUAACUUAAAUUAUAUAUUAUUAUAUUAAUGAUUCAUUGUGAAUCAACGUAUCUCUAAUAUAUAUAUUAAUUUAGACUUAACGAAAAGAAAUAUAUUAUGCUUUUUUUAAAUAUAAAAAUUAUUUUAGAUAUAAAUAAAUCAUAAAGACUUAAGUUAACCAUAAAAUACUUAACUAAUUCAUGGUCAAAAUCACAAAAUAAACUUUUAACCCUUUUUAGUAUUGUCUUAAAAGAUUCCUCGCUCUGCAUUACAUAUCCAUAUCUUAAGAUCGGGAUGGACUUCUUCACCAAAGUUUAUUACAGCUCAUCAUCUCUCCAUCAUUCCCAAACGGUCUACUCCUCUCUCAAAUGAUCUCAACCAUCCGUGUUGUCGAUCUUGCAACCUAAUCUCGACAUCCCUAUCCAACCACAUCUUUCGGAGCACGAACAAUUGCUGCACCCAGAUGAUCCGAACCAUCGAUCUUGUCGAUCUCAUGUCCUUCAUCUUGCGAUCCCUAUCCCACCAGAUCUUUUGAAUGGUGUUGGAUUUUGUGGUCCAGCACACUGUCCAAGCUUGGCCAGAAACCCCAAACAUCCAGAGGCAACAUGGUGACAUACAGCACAACUUAACAUCUACCAAUCCACCAGCGUGCUGAGAUGCUUUUCAACAUCUUUCUGCUUCUUGGACAAGAUUCCAUAUAAAGCAAAAGUAAAGCAAGAACAUAAUUAAUCCGAAUAAUCAUAUUAUGUAUAUCCUACAUCCUCCAAAGUUGUUCUUAAUAAAGCAUUCUAAUGUAAGCAAUAUAAAAAGUCUCUAAAGUACCGCAGUAGGCAUCACACAUUUUAAGACUGAUGAAAGCUGAGCAAGGAUCAAUCAUUCAAUCAAGCACCAAGAAGAAAAGAUUGUCGCAGAACCUUUGUCCCCUACCUCUGUGCCAGUGUCAUCAUGCACAGUAAGGAGUAACAUGCAGUCCAACAUUGAUUGCUUGAGUAUUCUUGAAGAACAAGUGACACGGUUCUUGGAAGCACAUGAAGCUGGGAACACAAAUAUCUUAUACACAUGAAACAUGCAUUACAUGAAACAAACACAAAGAUCAGUUUCACGACUGAGCUGCAUAUGUAGCUUAGCAACUUCCCCGAGUGUCAAAAGGCAUUUUGGUUCCCAUCUAAAUGAUUAGCAUUCACUAACUUAAGAAAAAGAAUAUAUAUAUAUAUAUAUAUAUAUAUAUAUAUAUAUAUAUAUAUAUAUAUAUAUAUAUAUAUAUAUAUANNNNNNNNNNNNNNNNNNNNNNNNNNNNNNNNNNNNNNNNNNNNNNNNNNNNNNNNNNNNNNNNNNNNNNNNNNNNNNNNNNNNNNNNNNNNNNNNNNNNNNNNNNNNNNNNNNNNNNNNNNNNNNNNNNNNNNNNNNNNNNNNNNNNNNNNNNNNNNNNNNNNNNNNNNNNNNNNNNNNNNNNNNNNNNNNNNNNNNNNNNNNNNNNNNNNNNNNNNNNNNNNNNNNNNNNNNNNNNNNNNNNNNNNNNNNNNNNNNNNNNNNNNNNNNNNNNNNNNNNNNNNNNNNNNNNNNNNNNNNNNNNNNNNNNNNNNNNNNNNNNNNNNNNNNNNNNNNNNNNNNNNNNNNNNNNNNNNNNNNNNNNNNNNNNNNNNNNNNNNNNNNNNNNNNNNNNNNNNNNNNNNNNNNNNNNNNNNNNNNNNNNNNNNNNNNNNNNNNNNNNNNNNNNNNNNNNNNNNNNNNNNNNNNNNNNNNNNNNNNNNNNNNNNNNNNNNNNNNNNNNNNNNNNNNNNNNNNAUAUAUAUAUAUAUAUAUAUAUAUAUAUAUAUAUAUAUAUAUAUAUAUAUAUAUAUAUAUAUAUAUUCUAAUAUCGAUAAUCUUCAUCAGAGGACUACAAUAGAAAUGCCAAAGUUUUACAUCCAUAUGAAUUUUCAGGAUGCUACAAUUCAUGUUUUAAGAAGCAUCUGAUGUUACAGUCGCAAUUGUUUGUGUAAUCAUAUUGACAGCAAGUAAAACACACAGUAAGACACAAAGUAAUCAUAUUGCCGUGGCCCAUGAUAAUCCAUUUUCUUGCACAAAGAAUCUCAUAUAUCGACAAAAAUGUAUGCAAAAAAGCUAAAGAAUUUAUCAUUAUUAUGUCUCACAUUCGGUUCGAUAAAAGUAUUUCCAUCGUUGUUAAACAUGUAAUGGAAGAGUUACAGAGAAUUAAUAAUAGAGCAUGUACUAAAAUAGAAAGAAUAUAUCAAAUUCAAUAUGUAGGGAAGACAACAACGGCAACCUACCUUGGAAGUUAUAACAUUGUUGUAGGCAUGUGUUCUGACAACUUGUGAACAAGCUCAUCAAAUUCACUCAAAAUGAAAUAUCAAAAUUCACUUAUCCACACAACUAUAAUUUGAAAAUUCUCUUUCUGUCAAGUAGCUUCAGAUUGCACCUAUGAUGGCAAACCAUACUUGAGCAAUUAGCCUUAUCUUCAAAUCAAUCUUGAUAGAAGUCAAGUCUGACUCCUUUGUUCAUUCUUCCAAGAAUUCUUAGCAGCUUCAGCAGAUGAAGUGCCAGACUCACCAUUACCAUCCUUAGGCUUAGAGAAGAAAGGAUCCCACUCAUGUGGCCCAACUGUUCGCUGACCAUCCUCUAACAAAGCAUACUUCCAGCUGUUCUCUUCAAUGACAUCCUUUUCUUCGUGGCCUUCAAUCAUGUCCCUUCUUAGUCUUGUAACUUUGUCGAUGAUUGCCUGUACAGCCACAUCAAAGGCAUCAUUAAGAGUCUCCAACUUAGACCUAGGGUCUGCAUAUAUCAGGCUUGGUAUAAGGCUUAUGACUGUCUCUCUCAUUGUUUCCACAACAUGUGGAGGGAUUUGCUUUAACCUUUCCUCGAUACUGACACUCCUCUUUCGAAUAUCAUCCUCAGGUAUAAACACCGAGUAUGUUGAGUAGUUUCUUGGGAGAUGCCAUGUAUAUUGUAUAUAAGCAGAGCCAGGAUGAAAGAAAACAGGUAUGCAACCAGCCAAAAUGGAGUCAAAAGCUGAUCUCCUUGUAUAUGAAUCUCCCUGUGGUUGUAAGCAAAAUAAAGAACUCUGAAACAUCUGCAUUAUGCUGCUUGGGGAGUGACACUUGCUCUCUCCAAAAUCACACUCCAGCAACUUACAAACUUUGGACCUUUUGCACUGAUCUAUGAUCUUCCCUCUGAUUGAUUCUGGAUUAUCAGGGCGUGGUGCACCCGCAAAUGAGAAGAGAAACUUCCGCUCCAACUUCCUCAUCCGGUCCUGCCAAAUGAAGACAUCAGCAUCCUUUGCUGGGUGAAAGUAUGUAGGAUAAGGUAUCCCAAAAUCAUUAGCAUUCCAUGGGCUCGCUUCCACAACCAGCAUCGACAUGUUUCUUGCAGCUGGCAAGAAUAGAAGCUUGUUUCCCCAAUCUGUUUCAGAAUCAGUCAAUCUCCUGAAAUCCCAAGUAAUUCUCCCUGCCACCAAGAAGUGGUCCCUUCCCCCCAUCACACUCCAUUCAGGCCUCUUCAUGAGCCAUUCAACCAAAUCCAGAGAUGCAGCAUCCCUGACUGAGGUAUUGUAUCCCCAAAGAUAUCGAGCUAUGUCAAAACCAGCAUAGAAGGGCACGAAGAUAGCAGCAGCGAUGGAUGGAUCUUCUGUCAAGCACUCAUACUGCUUCAUCCGGUUGUUGAAGAUCACAUCCACCGCGAACUGAUUAGUGGCGUACCAUCCUGUGUUCGAGAAGACCCCAUCUGAAUUCUCGAGCGGAGGCCCCAUGCCAGCAUUGCUUGUGAACUUGCACAUGUUGAUCCAAAGGCUCAACUUUCGGCAAUCUCUAAGCAUGUCAGCGUUGAACCGGGAAGGGAGAUCAUGGACGUAGAUAUACCUCCCACCGCAAGGGUCGCUUUUGUUCUCGAUGGUCUGGAGGGCACGGGUGAAGGGGAACGCCUCUGGUGCUUGACGGGUAUCUGCUAGUUUUGAUUUGGUCGGCGCCUUCAUUUUGGGCAGUUCAAGUGCUUCAUAUGCUUCCGAAAUCCGCUGGGGUUUGGACGAGAUGGAGGAGAAGGGAACGGGUUGGUCAGGAUUGCUGAUGGGGUUGCUACUGAGAACGGUGAAAUGGAAGUAGAAGAUCAUGAUCCAGAACAUGACCGAUAGGGUGGCCAAGAAGCAGAGCCGAGAUGGCGGAGGCUUGCCGUUGGCCUUCUCCAUCUCCUCCUGAUGGUUGAACGCCGAUGACCGCCGUCUCAUGAGAUUCUGACCCAAAAUCAGCUCAACUGAUCGAUCCGAAAGGAAUGAAUUCUUAUCAAACUGAGAGGAGCAGAUCCAAUUGGCCGCUUCUACUGAGCCCUCCCCAAAAUCCAAAUGAGACAAGAGGAACUACUACCCAACAGUCUUCGGAGCCCUCAAUAAAAAAAACUCUCGCUAAAAAUCAUAUCUUUCAUAUAGACUACGAAACAUUUCACUUUCAAAACCCCUAAAAUUACAAAAUUUUGCAGGAAAUCAGAUCCCAGAUCGGGAUUCCCUGCCUGACCGACAAAACAAUUUAGAACCUAUCAAAUGUCACUACAAAAUUCCAUAUUUCCUUCUAAAAUCCCAACAGGAAGAGAAAGGCCAACCAGUCUCGAUUUGCACCGACAAAGAUGGUAACAAAUAGUGAAGAAAAAAAAACACAAAUUUCGACGGAGUUACAAAUGAAUUAAGAGGAGGCAAUGAGAAGAAUGGAGUGAGAGACGGGAAGAGAAGACUCACGGAGCAAUCGACGCCGCGAAGAGGGGAGAGAAGGCUUUCCUUUUCACCCACGCUCAAUGGGGUAGAUCUCGGGAAGACAGCAACAGCCGUUGGCGUCACGGAGACUCUGGCAUUCUGUCUUAUGGAAAAGGGCCGGGAGACGCGCACGCUAGAACGCUGCGCCAGUCCGCCUCUCCGUCGGUAGCCGGUUGCUUGUUCCGCCAGGUCGGACGCACCCCGCGACGUGUCGGUCUCCCCCCAUUCAAUGCCAAAAAGUUAUGCCGCGGGGCCCGGCAAUUUGUGAAAAAUUACGCCGUUACGCCAUCGUCUCCGUAACGGCCGUUAGCUCGCGGCGGUGGCGGCGGGACACCUCUGUGGUGACCCUCCAUCGCUCAGAUGCGUCGCGUUUACCGAAGCAUCACCGGUGCUGACGGUCCACGCGUCACAGGAUCCGUUUAGGAAGCAUAAAAAAAAUGAAAAUAUUUUUCUCACCCGUCUGUGUUACCCCGGAAGGUACGACAAAGUACCGUGUGGAUCCCAUUCGAUAUGCCAAAUGGUAAAGCAGGUGGAGUUUUAGGGAGGACCAAAUAGGUACGAAAUUGUUGCUCGUAAGAAAGAGCUACACUCGCCGUCCCGGUCUGCUAAAGCUACUCGUUUGUUGAUUGGAGCAAACAAGUGGGGGCGCUCUUGGGGCCUACAGCACGGCUGGGUAAGCGUCGAUUAGGGGACAUGUUAUCACGUCGGUGGUGUGUUAAUUAGGAAGAUAAUAAGAGGUCACAGUCAAAGCUCAAAAGCGACAAAAAUAUUACCUUAAUCCUCGCCAAUUAUUCCUAAUCCAUGCUUAUGCUUUUGGGCAUCGAUAAUGAUGGGUGAGGUGAGAUGUAUGUCAUCAAGGUUACCACGUCGGUGACAUUACCGAUUAGAAACAUAUUAAUACGCAAAGUCAAAUCUCAUGAGACGACAGAAACCAAUUACGAGUAACUCAAGUUAGUAGUUUUGGGUGUUGAUAAUGAUAGUGAAUUGGAGCGAUGACGGGCCAUAUGCCGUCAUGUCUCAUCGUGGUUUGAUCACCGGAACAGAUACGCAUUGUAUAAUAAUGGCAUGUCUGGAUCGUCGUAUGUAUUAUUAUUCCCACUCUUAAAGGGCGUCAGGUUUGAACGGCCAUUUAGAUAGAUCCAGUAAGGAAUAAGAUUUACUGAUAGAUCAUGUUCUGAGCCGAAUAAGAUUACUCGGCUCAACGAGUAUGACUUUACUGUUACUGUACUUGGAACAGUAAAUCACAGCUCUCCUCAUGUAUAAUUUAUCCUUGUUCGAUAAUAAAAAAAUAAAUAAUAAUAAUAAUAAUAAUAGAAGUCCGUACCAUAGACGUGAUGGUGAGAAUGAGGAACAGCGGGAUGACAGGUGUGAAAUGUAGGCAGUGCUUAGCACAUCUCGAGGUUGAGGCUAACGAUUUGUAGUGUUAUUAUUGAUGUAAAAUAUUGGUGGUUUGAUUCGAAUGCCACACCAUGGCGUGUUGUCGUAUUAAGCAGCACUGCUCAGGAUGUGCUAACCACUUGAUGUUUAUUAUCUUCAUCCGGUGAGAAACAUGUAUUAUUAUUUUACCAUUUCUAUUCCAAAUGAAGUUUCUAGAAUUUUUACUAAAAUUCAUCAAAAUCAGAUUUGUUAACCAAGUUUUAUUCCUCCCACUAGAUAGAAUUGAUCAAAAAUAUUAUCUUCAUCCUCGCCAAUUAUUCCUCCCAUUAGAUAGAAUUGUGCCUAAGUUUCGACGCUUCCAUCAAGACUAUGAGCAUGACAUGAAAGACUACCAUGACUUAAAACUACCAAGGUUAUCUCAAUCGCUACCUACACAAGGUACAAGAGACAUCUCUAAGACCGCAUGGGCUCAUUGAUUACAAGGUGGAUGUAAUUAUUGGUUGGCCUACAUUAAGAGAUAACAGUACGUUCUCCUGUAAAAAACUAGGCACAAGAACCAUACACUAAGAGGUUUCACUUGAUGGGCAACCUUCUACUCUUGUUCAAAGAAGGGGAAGCUAAGCACUUAGAGCUCUUGUCGUGUUGCUCAAAGUUUUUAAUGAACUAGUAAAAAGGAUCCUGGUUGAUACCAAGAGUUCUAUCGACAUAAUAUAUUUUAAUGCCUUUCAAAUGAUUGAUCUAAGCACGAAUAUCUUCAACCCAUCUCAUCUAGACUUACUAGCUUCACUGGGGUCAGAGACAAUAGACCUAUAUGCUACGUUCGGAUCGGGUGCCCAACCCUCAUUUGUUUAUGUGCGAUUAUUUCAACUAUUAUAUGACACUAAAGUUUUUCACUAAAUGUCAUGGACAAAACUGUAAACGGAGUAUUUGAUGUAAUGCUCAUGUAUAUUUGUGUCUUUCAAUUUUAUUCAUGUUUUGCAUAGCAUGAAAAUGAUUGAUAGUAACCUUAGUAACCCAAUUUUCUUUGGUUUUGAUAGUUGUCUCGACUUCCUCCUCUAGGAGCCCACACUCGGCUUCUUCACUAGACUCGAAUUUCCCUUUUUGUCGUAGGCGGAGAAAACUCACUGUGAUUAUCGAGUCCAUUGGAUCUGACGAAAGCAACCUUCCUAUUAGUUGGAAGCUUGUUGUUGUGGCCUUUUGGGAGCUUGAGGCCGAGAUGAUCGUAGCACGUUUGGGAUAUCGUACGUUGAUACCCAAUGUGCCAACUGUUAAGGAGUGUUGCUUGGGUUAAAGGUGGCGAUCCCAAUGGCCUACCUAGUACUCUGCCCUCUUCUCCUCUUCUGCUUAGAGCUGCUUCGUUGCUUGCUCCACUGCCUGCUAUAGACUGAUGCUUUCCAUGUGAAAGGAAGCUACCUCCACGUCCGACCUCAACAAUGCCUCGAUGUCACCUUGUUCGUCGAUUGGCCAAAUCCAUCAAACGACAAUGCUCCGUUACUAGACUCAAAGAUUCUCUCGACCUCAUUAGCAAUCUCUCUCUGCAGCCCUCACUGUGAACUUGUCCUUUUCUUUGACCUGAUCAAAUGGUGUCUCUGCAAAGCAUAACUCAUGAUCAAAACAAACGAAAAGCAUAUAAGGAAAGUUAAAUGUAUUAUCAACACUCACCCCUUAGGCCAAUCCUUGGAGGAGCACGUCGUGGUUCCAAAUGGUGGCAUCUCGGGAAAUUUCCCAGGCUUGACCGGGCAUCCAUUCCAGCCUAAUUCAACCACAUCCACAUCACAUUUACAUCAGACUUUGGAAUCAAAGAAGACUUUUACCUCUAAAAGAAUGCAUUUAAAAUCAUAGGUUGCAGAUAAAUACAGAGGGUGAAAAAUAUCACCCUUGUCCUUCAGCCAAUAUGCAUAGUUAACCUACCAAUUUUCUCAAGUGGCCAGCUCAGUACUUGAAAGGUACAGAGAUUGACAUAAGUAACAGAGUUGAAGCUAUAUCAUGCUACUGAAGAACAAACAUGGACAAAGAAAGAAAGCCGAAAGAGAUCCAAGUGAUACGAGAAAUCAUCAAAUAUCAGAAAAUACAUAUACACUGUCACCUGUGGCAUGGUAGAAAUCUGAACGCUGCGGCAAAAACAACAAAGUGAAGUAGAAGAGGCUGAGAGGGAAAAGAAGGCAUCAGUAGAUACAUGCAGCAGCAAGAUCUGAAAAAGCCUCUCCAACCAAAUCCUUCAAUACAUCACUGGUUAUUUCUUUAGCGAUCUCCUCUACUAUCCUGUUCAAUUCAACCCAUCUGUUUCCUCCCGCCUCAGUCCUCAAUACUCUAUCCACAACUAGACUACCAAUGUCAUUCUCAGUAAACACCACCGUCCGGUUGCCAGAAGACCAAUCCCUCACUAGACCCCACACAUCCUCUGACAAGGCAGAGCUUGCACAAGCAUUAAUCUGUGCCCCACAGGACGCCCUGUUCCAUGGGUAUACACUCAUUAAGGUAGACCAACUGACUUCUAAAAGGGCCGAGUUCACACAGUCAAAUAGGAGCCUCAGGGUUGGAGUUUUCUCCAUGCACUUCGAUUCAUCUUCUUUCAGACCCAAGAGUUUGUCAAGUAACACUGGAUCCAAUGGGCUAUCAGGAGAGUGCCAUCCAGUGAACAUCAUAUCAGAUUUCUCCAAGCCAGCAUAAGAUAGCAAUUUCUGAACAAAUACAAAAUGAUCUUGGUCAGCACCAUCUGCCUUGGACAAAGCUACUUUAAAACUUGAGGGCUCGGGGAGUCGCAUUUCCAGACGGGUGUCAUCCCAUGACAAAGUACGAGCAACUGACUCUAUAGGUGAAGCCCUGGAAAUUACUGAAUGGAGAUAAAACAUCAAUCAGCAAAUAGAAAGAUAAGCAUGGAUACGAAUGCAAGAGAAAACUUACAUUGUUGUCUAGCAUUUGCUUCAGAUGUCUGCAAUAGAUUUCCAUUCACAUCAUCUUCAAAUUGUGCAUCCAGAAUUGAAGUAGGGCUAGGUUGGUCCAGGUUGUUCGUGUAAUUUUGACGUGGACUGAGUUUCUCCUCCUCACUAGAUUUGUCACUUGUCCUGGAGUUUUCAACUGAUUGCAUGGGCUGCAGAGAAUAAGAAAUUUAUCACUGACGUUGAACUGAAAAGAAAACAUGUGUGAAGUAAAAGAUUGUAAAUAUGUGAGCAAAGUAGAAAAUGGAAGUGUUCAAAUCCGCAAGAACAGCAAGAAUACUAACUUUUUUGGAAACAUUUGUCACCGAUAUUGAAGCUGUACUGGCAGAUUGUUCCUCAUCUUUUACUUGACUGUUUGCAGACGAACUACCAUGAACUGAUUUUAGCAUCUCAUCAGUUCUGCUUGCUACCACAUCAGCACCACCAGAGCCCACCAUGGUAGAAGAAACAGGUCUUUUUCUAGUUUCCUUGCUCCUAGAAAAGAAAAAGCUAGAGAAUCUUCCUCUGAAAGAUGAUUUACCGUGUUUGGUCUUUGACACCUCUGACACAGUGGGUUCACAAAGCUGAGUGUUGGAACCUUCAUAUUUCAAGCCAAUGUCUUUGUAAGCUGAACAAGAGACUGGGACAGACUUUGAUCUUGAUAAAUUUUCAGGGGAAAGCUCUCCUGAAUUCUUUUUUCCAUCCACCGAUAAGAAGAAUGCUGGUAACAUCAAUUCAUCAUCUCCUCCACAUGAUCUGCUGGCUGAGACUGUAUACCUAUUGACACAUUCUUCUCUUUUUACAUCAGAAAUUGCAAGCAUUUCACCUAAAGUGCUUGAGCUCUUAGGUAAAUGCAGUUGCUCUUGGCUUGUACCAUUUGAUGUCACUAAAGCCCACCUUUCUGAAAGCCGCUUCUUUGCCUCUCUAAUCACUGAUGACUCAGGUGAAUGUGACACCCGGCUGAAAGAUGACACUGAGCAAGGACUGUUGAAUCUAUCCCAAGAAUGGCGUGACGUUGGAGCAGCUACAUCAGAGUCACUAAAGCCACCACCAUCUUCCUCAAUGUAGUCAGUUUCGAACAGAUUGAAUGAACUCCCAUCUCCACCAAAGCUAUUUGAGUAAACAGAAGAUAGCAAAGACUCAUCCCUCCUAUGACCAGAUAGAAUCUUAUGCAUCUGCUGAGUUCUCUCCUCUAUGUAUUUUGGUCCGAAGGCUUCACUAUCUCCCAGAUCACCCUGUACUAGAUGCUUAGGUGACAUGGUUGUAGUGGGUGCUUUGGUAGGAUUUCCAGUGCUAGGCUUCAAGACAACUAUCCUAGUCGGCUGAGAGAAGCUUUCAGCUUUUAAAUGGUCGAAGGUAGAGUUCCAGUGGUGAUUGUUUGUUUCCCUUCCACUCUCUUUAAUCUCUGGACCUUCCUGCUUCUUCACCAUUUUUUCAAACUUCGUCUCAACUUUUUUUGAUGGCUUCAAUACAGUAAUGUGAUUUGGUUGAGGUGGUGGAGGGACAGAGCGAAGAUCAAAUGUUUGCUUAGAAAACAGAGAAUUCGGCUCUUCAAGAAAUUUAAGAAACAAGUCUCUGUUUAAAUUCAGAACCUCUAGCGCAUCCUGAAAUUCCUUGGAGUGAAUAAGGUUUUCAUCAGUGGCUAGAUGCUUUGCUUCCAUGAAUUUUUGACGGACAAGAGCCAUUCUUAGGUCAUUCUGAGUCUCUCCACAUCUUCUGCUCCUGCUCUGAGAUGGCUGCUUCCAGACUUCAGAUACAUAUCUGCGUUCCAUCUUCAAACAAUCAUGUUGAUGGAGCUCACAUGGAACUUCCUUAUUGCAAAAGACAUCAUCUUGAAGAUGACCUCUAUGGACUCCUGCUGAGGCAGUUUGAGGGUAACCCUCUAGCAACUUUCUUUGACUAGCCACUGGCGACAAUUGUGUUGUCAGAUCAUCAUCAAGGCCCAUUAGUCGGGCAACAACACUAUGUGGUUUCCUCUUGGACUUUGUUUCUUUCGACAUCUCCUGAGCUAUUAGCAUCUUCAUUGGUGUUCCACCAGAUUUCUUUUUUGAAGAAUUCUGGUACAGGACACUGGUUAUCUGCAAUCAAAUAUGGAUUCCAUAACACAAAACCAUCCAAAAAUAGGAUUAAUGCUUCAUUGUUAAUGACAAAGUAUCGGAUUCUUACUUGUUUGUUAUCUGUGUUAGUCGCACUCGGAGUGGCGGCUUCGUUGACAUUAGGGUUGUUUCUAUGAACUGGAGAACCUGUUUAACAACCAGCAGGCACAGAGAUGUUUUAAGAAUAAUAAGCAUUUUGGCAUUGAUUUAAAGCCGGAAAAAUACAAAGAGAUUAAUCUAGAGACACCAACAAAUGGACUAACUGCAUUUUCCUUGUAGUAAUUGUUUUCAGAAAUUGCCAUGAUCAUGAAAAAAAUGUCUCUGGUUUACCAGGUUAAGGAAAAAGCAUGAUAUCAGUCCAAAAUAACCAUAAGUGGCAAAGAAAGAGAAUAGUAACAGACUUAGGAGUGGCAGAUCCUUUCUACAAGAACAAACAACGCCGAGACAAGCUAUAAUUCCAGAAAGUAAUCAAUUACCCAUCCACAAUCAACAAACUGUGCCUCAUAAUCCUAGCAUCGCAAGCAGAUCUAAAACACUUACAAAACAAUGAACUAGGACGAAAAAGCACACUAAAAGUGAAUACUCUAGUAUAAAUGUCCUGAAGAGAGAAAACUAACUAUAAAUCUGGAAAAGAAUACUGAAAACCGACUCAGAGGAAAUGUAUAGAAAGCCCAAAGUAAUACCAUUUCUAUGAUCUCUUUCCGGCAGCAUUUUGGUUCCGGCCAUUCCGGCACUUAAGUCAAAUAUGUUGAUCAUCCUUCCUAUAUAUCCAAGGGAUGCCUUUUUCAGACUCUGCCUCCGUAUUCUGAAACCCACUCAUCUCAACUCCUGGAAGGAUGCACCGAUACCUGAGGUAAUCAGAAAAAUUCACCGCCAUCAUCUAUUUCUUAAGCACAGUACCAUAAAAUCACUUACCGGGUUACCAAGCAGAAAAUCUCCACAUGUUCAAAGAAAAGAAGCUCUCACUUUAGGCUUCAGACUACAAGAACACAAAGAAAUAGAUGUAAGAAAAUGCUAGAUUACAGGGAAAAGGUACAGCAUUCGUAAUCCGAGAAAUCAUUCUUAUAAAUAACAGCAGCGUAGUAGGAUUCUUCACAUUUGAUUUAAUUUAAAGGUUGUAGAAACCCAACAUUCACGUCUCGACCGUCGCCCGUUCAAAUUGUACACCAAAAAGGACAGCAUUAUAAGUUUCUUUGUCAGGGGAACAAUUAAAUCACAACACAAAAAGCUGACAGAUGACGAUAGAAAUAUGCUACUUUGAAAUCCUAUCAUAUAGAAAGACAGACUUAUAGCAAAUGAAACGAAACCCAGGACUUCGACGGGUGGGGGUUAAAGCAAGCAAGAAGUGAAUGUCGAGAGGAAAAAGAGUACCGAAACAUAGAAAUUAACAGAGACAGGUCUUGGGAAAAAGAAAAGCAACAUAGUAUUUAUAGGAAUUUCGAAGAGAAAAAGGUUUGAUCCAAGAGAAUAAUUCUCUCUCCAAAGGAAUCUCUGCAAAAGGCUGCACUUUUCCUGAAAUAUGACGAAGGAUGACAGGCAAAGGGGGAAAAGCUCAAAAAUUUCAAAGACAGCCUCUUAAAUGAACACCAACACCCACGAAUCCAGGCCAAGAUCUCAGAGAUCCUUAUGAAAAGCAGAAAAUUGAUCGAGGGAAAUCAAGCAGAAAGAGACAAGAGGGAGGCAGGGAGAAGAGCAAACUCGCACGGAAGAGGAAACCUAGCACCAAAACCCAAACGAAAAAGGAAUCAUUACAGCAUCGAAAGCGAUCCACCGAGCUCCGGAAUGCGAGAUCAAGGUGUUGGAACAGCUGAGCACAAAGAAUUGGAAUACAAAGGGGCCGAAAAAAAGCGAGAUCACUUUACUGCAUCUGAUCGAAUCCAUCCCCUCAUCCGACCUUAAAUCUAAACCAAAAGGGCCGCGCGUCGCCGCUCCGACACCGGAAUCCUCCAUCUCCGGACGCCGCUGCAGUCGCAGAUCUCGCCAGCAGUGGUUUGCCGUCAAGAGGCAGACUGUUGGCGUUAAGUAUGAACGUGAGACUACACCCGCUUUGGCCUUCUUUACGGAACUUUGGAAUUAUUAUUAAUUUAUUUGCAAAAACUAAAGAAAUAUAUACUUAUAAAUAAGGAAUUAUAAUUACCACUAAUAUUUUCCUGAUAAAUUGGAUGGAGAAGCAUAAAUACUGAAUUAAAUAUGAAGCAUAUUAAAAUAAGAAAAAAUAUGGCAAUAGCUCUUUCGACAGUGCGGUGAGAGAUUCACUUGAAUUCUUGGAAAUAAGAAAAAAUAUAUAUUGGAUAUCACUCUACUGCAUGGAAUGAGUGACUGUAAAGUCGAUCUAUUAAGCCACAAUGAGUGAGAUUUGCAUAAAUACGCCACUUAAUAUGUGCAUGUCUAAAUCUGGAACUUCAAGUGUCGUACAAUACAAACGAUUCCAGAAGGCAAAGCGUUCACAUCAAUGCUGAUAAGAGUAUAGAUACUGCAUUAAAGAAAAGAACGAAAGAAAGGAACAGCUUCCUUUGUCCCUUCCUCUCACUGAUGACUCCUUAUCUCAAUCGACCAGCCAUCUUUGUUGGAACAAAGAUAUGAACAAUCCUCGAAUCCACAGUUUUCUCCACGCCACAGACGAAACGUGGCUGGUGCUUCAUCGCGUGCAUGCUUGCUCUCUUUUUGCUCCACCAUAUUCCAUGGCUAGAGGAAGGUGGGGAAGAGAACACAGAAGAUGUGUUUUGCUUGCAAUUAGGUGAGGCGUCGGCACUCGCUACAUGGAAUACGAUAGCCUUGGAGACGUAUGGAACGUUCACUCAGAACUCGUCGCACCAACGUCAUGCGCGAUGGGGACUCGCGUGAGCUCAUCGUCCCCAUGUGCGGAUGGGCCUCCGCUCUUCCCUUCCGCCACCGUCAUCUCCUCUCGUUUGCUCGGCUGUCCCUUCCAAUGGCGUCUUCGGCGAUACGCUUUAGUUGACGGAUUACAUAAACGCCCCUUCUCUGACAAACCCAAUUACAGGAUCCAAUAUUAAAAUAAAAAAUUAUAAAGAUCAAUAAGUUAAAAAUAUACUAAAAAUUAUAAUAAGAUUAAUACUAUUCAAUAAAUUUUUAUCCAUAUUAAAAAAUUAUAUCUUUUAAUAGAAUAUAAGGUUCCGAGUUAUACUCACUUAAGUAUAUUUUUUUAUUCAUAUCUCACGUAAAUAUAAAGAACACUUUCAACAUAAAACUCUAAAAUCAUCCUUACUAGCAACGAAAAUACCUUAACUUUUUAUCUCGUCAAAACCCUAAAACUCAAGAUAAAUUUAUAAGAAUAAAUCUUUUUUCAUUAAGGAUUUUUAAUUUAUUUAAGAUUUUACUAAUUAAUUUAAAUAUAAUUAGAACUCUUGGGAAAUAUUUUUCACUUUAUUUCUCCUAUGAAAAUUAGACCACUGGCUUAAAAAAUUUACCACAACCGUGUAAAUCAAAUCAGUUCAUGAUCCAUGAUUUCAAAAAACCGGCCAAUGCAUCCUAUGUAGCUUGAACCAAAUCAAUGUCACUAUUCGAUUCCCAUCAAAAGAAUUUUUUUCCUCAUAAUUAUUUACAUUCUAAAAAUUAUGAGUAUCCUCUUUUUUUUUUUUAAUCAAGUUUGUUAUCAUAGGUAACUACCAUCCUUUAUACAUACAACUUAUUUCAAUUUUGAUGUUAUCUUCCUUUCGCAAAGAUCAUAUUGUUAGAUUAUGUAGCUCUAUUUUAUUUGAUAAGAUACAUUAUGAAUAUGAUUAAAUUUUGAUUACGAUUAUCAGAAAAGAAGUUCAAUUAUGGUAUGAUUCAUCAUUUGCUCUUGUCUAUAAAUAGAUAGAACCUCCAAAGGACUCAACACAAUACAAACAUACAAUAAUUGAAUAAGUGAAUAUACGGGUAUGCGAAUAUGUGGAUAUACGUUAUGAUUAAGAGAUUAUAGAUCUUCUCUCAUAUUUUUUUUGUCCCUAAAUCCAUUGAUUAUAGUGGUCCUCUAAAGAAUAGAAAGAGAAAAGAAGGUAAAUAUAAUUUUCCUUACAUAUCAAUAUUACUAUAGAUCUUAGAUCCGACAAUAGUGUGCUCGUAUAUUAGUGAAAUUUUUUUCUAAAUAACAUUGAAAGGUACACAUCAUAAUCUUCACAUCUAUUGUUAUUUGAUUUCAAAUUUUUUAUUAAAAUCUUUCGCUUAAUAAUAUCAUAUUAUGAUUUUUAUGCUUAUAUAGGUAACCCCAAGUAACUUUUAUAACUCCACCCUUAGUCUUUAAUAUCUUUGGAACAUAAGUCAUAUCCUCUAGAAUAUAUAUCUCUCUAUGAAUUAUUUGAAUAUUUACCUUACUAACACCCAUGAUCUUUACUAUAGAAUCAUAAUAUAGACUCAACCCACUAAUCAAUUUGUCAUUAACACAAGCAAAAUCAAUAAAAUAACUCUUCUAAAAAGAUGCAUUGUUACCUUUAAUAAUUAGAGGAUAUUUUUAUCAUUAUCCAUUAUAAAAGAGCACUCACUAGUCUUUUCUUUUAAUUUCUUUCUUUUAGAUAAUUCCACUUAUAUGCUUGUACUCUUUGCAUCUAUAAUACUAAAUCGUAUCCAAAGAUGUAAUUCUUAAUCUCAACCCAUUACGUUAAGAUAUACUUUUAUUAAAAAAUCCUCAUCGUCGACCUCCACCUCUAUCAUGAGUAGCUAAUGCCUCAUCAUCCAUAUUAUUAAAUUUAUCCCUUUUUUUUAGUAGCAUGAAACACUAAAACUUCUUUAACUUAUUCUAGAGUUACUAUAACUUUUCUAUAUAUUAUCAUCCACUCAAAGUUAUUAUAGGAGUCACAAGCGACGUAAGAAGCAAUGUCUUAUUAUCUUCACAUCAACUUCUUCGAUUGAUCUAAUAUUCUUUUAAAUAUAUUCAGAUGCUUUCCCAAGUCUAUGUUUUUCUCUAUUCUUAUAUAACUUUUACUUCGGAUAUAACUCGUAACUUUUAUAACUUAUCUCAAAUAAUCAUGGUGAAGUUAUCAUCAAUAACAUUAUUGAUAAUAUUAUCAAUCAUGCAAAGAUAAAUAGUACUUGUUCACUUUGUCUCGAGCUCUUCCUAAUUUUCAUUACUCAUCUUUUCUAGUUUGCUUACCGAUCCUUUCGAUAUUCUUGUCAGGUUUUAUUGAACAAGAUAUUUCACUCUUCUUUACCACAAGGUGAAACUAUUUCUUCUAUUAAAUUUCUCUACAAUAAAACUAGCAAAAACAACUAAUGACAUCGUUGUUGAAUCCCUAGAGGAGAAAGACUAAAAAUCAAAAGAAACACUUGAAAGAUCAACGAGCUAUAAACAUCCAAAAAGUCGAUAUAAUAUUAACAUGGUUCAACAAAUCACUAUCUAUAUUCAUCAAGAAAGCAUAUUCUUCAAUAUAUGAGAUCAAUUAUAAAGCUUUUCAGUUAUCUCUAUUCAAGUAUGAUUUUUCUUAUUUACCCUUCACAUAAGCCUAAAGAGCUCUCUCAACUAUCUUUAGAAACCUUAGAUAUCACCAUUAACUUUAGCGAUCAAAGUCUCUUAACUCUCUCUUUCACAAAAAAAUUAUGACUCAAGAUAUAUUUAUAGAAACAAAUCCUAAUUUACUAAGGAGUUAUAAUUUAAUUAAAAUUUUAUUAACUAAUUUAAAUAAAAUUAAAAUUCUUAAAUUAUUAACAAAUUUUCCGUUGGAAUAGAGUUAUGCUAGAAAUUGGCACCAACGGCACUGAUAAACUCUCCAAUCACACCUGAUGAAAAGAAUAGAAGAUAAGAACAAUUAUUGAAGAAGCUUUAUUGAAGUAACUUUAGCUUGAAUGCAUUAGCAUGUCCCGAUUUUCCUCAAUAGAAUAGAGGAUUUUCCUCAACAGAAUAGAUAAGAUUUCCUCAUAUAGUUGGGGAAAUCUUAUCUUCUAUCAUGCCCCCGCAAGAUGGUGCUCCUGACAAGGAUACCAAUCUUGGAUCGAUGCAAAAUUGCUGCUGCUAUUGUUGUUGCUAUAGUUUUGACGAUGAUGGUUGCGGCUGCGAUGGCAGCGGCUACGAUUGCGACGGCGACGGUUGCGAUUGCGAUGGCGGCGGUUGCGACUGUGACGGCGGCGGUUGUGGCUGCGACGACGGCGGUUGUGGCUGCGACGGUGGCGGUUGUGGCUGCGACAGCGGCGGUUGCAGCUACGAUGGCGACAGUUGUGGCUGCGACGACGACAGUUGUGGCUGCGACGGCGACAGUUGUGGCUGCGACGACUACAAUGAUGGCAGAGGAGAAAUCUACAGUAAUGUUGCAGUGAUGCUACUACAACAAAGGAGGAAGCUGCAACAUAGGAGGAAGGUGCAGUAGAGGAGGAAGCUGCAGCAGAGGAGGAAGCUGCAGCAAAAGAGGUAUGAGGUAGCUACAGCGAGGAAGAAAGGUGGGGCAAUGCUGGUGAGCACAGCACUAGAGACGCCGCAGAUGAAGGGAACAGAUGUUGGCGCAGAGUGGCAGUGGAGAAGACAAUUGUCAUUCGCCGAAGAGGAAAGAUCUGUCACACCGAUGGGCUGAUGAUGGAAAAGCAAUGGUAGAAAGCUUUUUCUUUUACCGUCAGAGAUGGAGAAGCAACAGUGAUAAGUCGGUAGCGAGAAGAAAAAAGAGAGCUUGCUCUAGGCAAGUAGCUCUGAUACCAUGAUGAUAAGAACAAUUAUUGAAGAAGUUUUAUUGAAGUAACUUUAGCUUGAAUGCAUUAGCAUGUCCCUCUUUCCUCAACAGAAUAGAUAAGUAUAGUUGAAUCCAAUCUGACACCGACGGCCGUGAUCGGCGAUCGAUCAAACGGAUGCUUGUGCUUGACCUGGGAAUUGUGAAUUGAACUACUGGAACGGGUCGAAUCGGCCGUACAAAAAUAGUGGAUGACGUCCGCCCAGCAUCACUUAAGUGGGACCCGCAUGCGUGAGAGAGAAACCACAUGUUAGUCCGCGCUUGUGCCAACGUGGCAAAUCACUAUUCGUGAAAUCACUAUCUUACCCUCGCGGUGGCCCGUGUCUCCGGAAGGCCGUGCUCGGUGUCCGCCGAAUACCUUAUACCCCUACUUCUUCGUGCGCCUUUGCCUCGUCGGCCCUCUCCGUUGAGCGGUCAUUGGCAGCAAUCGGGAGAGACGGAAGCAGCUUUAUGAGGAACAAAAGGCGCACGCUAGGCCGGAGCCCAACGGCGGACCCGGAGUGGAAUCAAUGGAAGGGGAUACUCGAGUGAGGAGACGGCAAGUGACGGUGAGGAGGAGGAGGAGAUGGGAGCGACGAUGGAUCCCCCGGUGGCGCUAGGGCCGGAUAUAAUGAUGAAAAUACUCGAGUCCUCUGACGCUUGCAGCGUGGCACGGCGCACUCUGGUAUCUCUCAGAUGGCACGAGAUCGCCGCCAGCGACUUUCUCUGGGCCCAAAAGGUUUGGUUUUUAUUUACGCCAAAGCGUACUCCUUUCUCUUGUCUUCCGACGUGAACUCAGUUCUUGAACCCUUCGUUAAGGUAACUCGGGGGGGAUUCGAAGUAUUGCAAUAUGAUUCCAUGAGAAAUUCCGUCUCUUUGCUCCACUAACUGAAGGGGAUUCAUGAGAUUAUUGUCUGGCUCUGCAUAAGUUCUAAUUCAUAGACUUGGCUUCCUUUUCUUCUCAUGCAAUUCUCUUUUUCUGUUUUUUUUAGCUGUAACUUCUUCUUUGAAGUGACACUCUCUUCUGUGUUAUCGUCAGGUUUCUUUUCAAUAAAAUUACUACUGUUUGGUCCUGUGUCAGUGUGAGGAAUUGUUUAAAGGGAAGGCACAUAGCGUCAAGACUAGCAGUCUAUUCUAUGUCCAUCAUGGAUGCAAAAAGAGUAAGGGAUAGCCUUUAGAUUGAAUAUAGUGUGCACAAAUAACAAAAUAUUCGUCACCUCUGUUCUUUGAUAUAAAAUUUUGAUGUGGCUGAUUAGAGUUAAGAAAAACUUGUGGUAUGAGACGUUUAAUGUGGAUUAGGGAUUCACCUAUGUACAUCUUUUUGUAUGUUUUAUAAGAAAUUUCUGCCAGAUAUAUGAUAUAGUUGGUACAGUAAUUACUUCAAUUAUCUUUUUUAUUGUAUACCUUAAAUUGUCUUGAUCUAAAAUUGUUUCUAAUAUAGGGCUGAAGAGUAAAACUUAUACAUAACUAAACCAUGAUGACAUGAUCCAUAUCCAACCAUUUAUGCGAUAACUGUGGCUGUGAAUAUUUUGUGUGACUUCAGAAAUGAGCAUGCAAUCUCCCUCACUGAACCAUCCAUCAGUAGACUCCAUCUUCAUCUAACCACUUUAGUUUUCAGUUAAGCAAAUGAUUUCAAAAUUUUGAUGGGGUGUUCAGAUGAUCUAACCCUCCGGGAACAAACGAUGAACAGUUUAAAGCUAUAUGAAGAUGAAGAAAUAUAGCUGAAUGGCCAUUACCUGAAAGGUCUGAGAGAGUGUGUUGGAUGUAUAUGCAUGUUCUGUUUAAAUCAAUAACGAACAUGAUGCUAAAUCGAUAUCAUUGGCAUAUGCGUCCCAUUGCAAGGUUUGCUGUGUCUUUUCCUUUAAAUAUAACACAUUCUUUUGGAAAUUUAGUUUUAGGGCCUUUUUUCUGUUUUGAUAAUCUUAAAGAGAUUUUAAAAUUUCAACAGAAGUUUCAACUGUUGGAUCUGUUUAAAUUGUAUAAUAAACUGAAAUUGAUUUUGCUUCCACCUUUUUUAGUACCUGAAAUGUAAUUAUUUAUACACAUGGACCAAUAUGUAUACUAAAAAAAGAGAAUCUGUAAAGAUACUAAAGAAGGGUAGGAUUUCCAGCUGCUUUUAUUAUGAGAUCAACACUAUUGAACUCCAAUGCAUUUGAAGUGCCUAGAUAUCAAAAUCCUUUUAAUUUCACUGAUAUUUUACCAUGCAUCUAAUGUGGACAAAACCCAUGGUGUAAGGUCAUCAAGAGCGCAUCUUAGUCCUCAUCUUCUCACCAUUGGAAAUUGUAAUCUUAAUUUCAAGGCAUGUAAAGUAUAUGAAGUCAACAGCCAACAUAACUGUUCUAGGCCAUAUCUAAUCAAGAUAUGGCUCUGACUUCAUUUUCAGAUUGUCUGCUGCUAAUGAGUUUCUGUCAAGGGACAGAUGUUUCUAAAAGACUAAUCUUAGUAGCUCGUUUUGACGUCACUUUGUGUAUUUGUGUUUGCUUGAUUAGUAUAAAAAUUAGUCUCCACAAAGUAAAUUAAUUGUAUCUGCUAUCUUCAGUUUUCCAUAUUCUUGUAUAUUAGACAAGGCCACAUUAUUAUAUCAUUUUAUAUGAUAUCUUCUACCGAGUUCAUUGCUGUUGAGUUCAGACAUGUUUAUGCCAGUUCCAAUGAUCACCUCAUUUGCAUGUGAACGUGUGUGUUGUUCUAGAUUACACUACAUUCUAACACUUCAUUAUCACUUAUUCUUUUCGGACUCGCAUCGCGGAGGAGGACCUUUGUGAUCAUGUUUGGGAAUUUCAUUUUUAGUGGGUAUGCACUUCUACACACUCUUUAACUCUAGUAGCAGCUGGAUCAUGGUGAAGUGCUGGAGUAACUAGUGCUCUCACCUCAAACAUUCUUUCUUAUUUUUGCAAAUCCAGUUAAUUUGUUUUGCCAAAGCCAUGAUCUUGAAUAUUCAUAUACUUUUCUUCUCAUUGGUGGUCGAAAGUUCAGAUAUUGAAUGUUUGGUUGGCAGAUAGCCAAUAUCUAACAUGUAUAAGUUCUCUGCUCAUUUGUGUAUUGAAUUUAUUGAUCAACUAAGUUAUUAUUAUAAUAUUUAUUAUUAUGAUUAUUAUUCUUUCCUAUGGGGACAUCUGAGCAUCAUUGCCUCUGAAUGGAUAAAUGUUUAGUGUAGAACUUAAUUGGGCUAGGGUCAAAUUUGGAGGUCAUGAGAUCAAUAAUUUCUACCCAAAGCAGAAUGUUUUAGCCUGAUGAAUCGGAGGGUUUUAUUGACUCACUAUAAAACUAAUAAUGAAGUGUUUUAAAGCUAAUGUUUUCUUAUGAUUACAUGUAGAAUUGGAAUAUGUCAAGAUUUUGAAAACAUCAAGCACAUAACCUUUGAUAGCAUGUCAAGAAAGUGAUGCGAAGGACGAUGUUUCAUUUACUUGAAAUAAUUAUUUGAACUGUUUUUACUUGUGUUUAUCUUUCCUCUUCCCCCUAUUUUGACAUCUUCAAUCAACAGACUGCUCCAGAAUAUUGGCAGAACCUUGAUCCUUCAUCGAUGGGUACUGGCCCUCCAAUCCACAGCUACUUCCAGCCAAAUGGUUCUCAGGAAGCAGAUCCUGAUGAUAAAGUAUGGGGAGGUCAUGAAUGCACAUAAUCAUCACCAGCUAUAUAGGCGAGGCACGAAUCUGGGAUCACUAUGUGAGGAUCAACAGGUGACCUCCACUGACCAUGUCGAGGAAAGAGGAUUGGAGUUGGACCUCUAUUGCUACAACAAUGUUCCUGAUGCUGAGAAAGAGGGUGGUGUAUCGGUCUAGUAAAUUAAGAACCACUACUGAAGCUAUUGAUACCGUCAAACCAGCAAUUUUCUAAAGAGGUUCUCUGGUAUUUUAAUGCUUCCGAUCAAUCUAUCGGAUGGCGGCCUUUGCAUUGGUGUUACAUAUAUAUGUUGUGUUGAAUCAUCUUAUUGUCUCGAAAGGCUUAUCUCCACUAUCUGGCUCGAAAACUCUUUAUCUUCAUGAAUGUGGCCAAUGGCAAGCAGACUUUCUGCAAUGCUCUAAUGUCUUGUGCCGUUUCAAAGUAGGUGAAUUAUGUUCAGUUAUUAUCUGUCAGUGCUGAGGUUCAUGUUCAAUAUAUUUGCUACAAUGGAACAACUUUUUUUGCAAUAAAAGAUUAUAUCGUCUUUAGCUGGUAUUAUCAAAUAUUAUGUGUGUAUAAUGUGGUUUGAAGCUUCCUGCAAUCUGCUUUGAGCCAGAUCUUAGUUGAAGCUUGUAAUAUUUUGUAGCUUUCUUAUAUUUACCAGACUAAUCUACAUUGGAUUUUAUUUGGGCUUGCUCUUGUUUCUGAAAGCCUAACAGAUACGUCGUCCUGUUUGGGAUCCAAAGAAGCUUCGUCUUCUUCCCACAAAUAAUUUUUUUGGUGUCAUUUUAUUGGAGUUUGCUUCAGACUAAGAGGCUUUCAGCAGCUACUUUCGCCAUUGUUAACAUCUCAACGAUUCAGAACGAAAACGCAAAGGCAGUCAUUUAAAGUGUGUACAUUUCAUUCGAUUCAUCUUGACAUGUUAUGGCUUAUUCGAAGUCCCGAAGGGGAGUCCAGCUAGUUCUCUUGAGAGAUUACAAUCGCAUCCGAAGGCUCAAAGUUCCAUUCGAGAUGGAAACUCACAGGAGACCUGAAGAAUUAAGAACAUGGAACCUGAGAGUACAUGCCAGUGCUUGUUUUGGAUGCAGUGUCAGUUGACAGUUGUUGACGAUAGAUAGCUACAACCAGUAGGGAAAGAAUGUAGAAGGAGAGAGAUGAGUUUGAUUGUGACGGAAUACAAUGAAGGGAUCCAAAUCGACUGUCAUUAUGUACCUUUAUCAGAAGCAAAAUAUUUUUUCCGCGAAUCUUAAAGAGAGAAGAAAAUGGGAUGAGCCUCGAGGGGUACAUGAAACAAAAAACAUGUUUUUAACCUUCAAAUAAAACACAAAAAACAGCACCUUGAAAACCAAACAAAACAAUUUCACAAGAACAUAGUCGAAGACGGAGUUUCGGAAUCUGAAGGUCGAAAGUAGGAGGCUGAUACACCUUGUGGAAUUGAAAUUUUAAGUGGAAAGCAGAAGAACAAAUAACUGAAGCUGCAUGCUGAAAGGGUAGCAAGCAACACUGUUAGCCGAGAACAAUUAUUUCUUCAUUGAGAUGACUUUGAUUUAUUGGUACAGAACGGAGUUCACGUUACAGAUAGAUUCUAGCCUUACCGGGGAAUGAGAAAUGAGGAUAACACUUCAAACAUGAUAUCAAAAAAUGCCUUAUUCUUGUACCUCAACAGAAAAUUGUGGCCGAUUUCUUGAGCUCCGUUAUACAGCAAGUGUCCCAACUCUGAGUUUGUAGUUCUUAAACGAGAUUAUCCCAGCCGUCAGUAUGUUUUCAUCAUUUUCCUCGUGUUGGUUAGAAAACUACCUGUGAUAUUGAUCUCCACGGAUGCAGUGGAACAGUGUCAUCAGUUAGAACAUGAGUCCUUGCCUUCUACCUUCGUCCAUAGCCCCAUAUACUCAAGCAUCUGACAUACUGCUAGAUCUUGUAGAGUACUCGGAAACUAGCCUGAGAAACAUCGAAGACUUGUCUUCCAACAACCGGUGUGGACUAUCAAAUUCGGUGAUUCUACCUGAGAUGCAUCAAUUAUAAUAAAGUAAGAUGAGUCCAACAGUUGGAAAUCUACAUCGAAGUUGACAACCUAUCUUGCAGAAAUAUAAUGAACAGAUUAGGAGCUUUUAAGGUUCCAAUUAUUUGCUUGUGUUGUAGGUUAUCAAAUUUGUAGAUUGGUUGAAAGUAUUAACCACAUGCAGAGAGACAAGAAAUAUCUAUAUUUAUCACGUCAUUAAUAAGCAAAGGGGAUGGGCAGAUGAAGAUAUGCUAUAUGAGAACCUACUGUGAACUACUUUAUUCUCUUUUUGAUUCCAUACAAUGUUGAUAAAACUACAACAAAUGUAUAGUUCUAAAUAACACUGCAGUAUUUCUCAAAGGAAAACUAUGAAAGAAACCAGCAAAAGUUUUUGAGAAAAUAAACGAGAAAGAAGGUAUCUUUUAUGCUUUCUCCUUUUUUUUUUUGCGCUAAAGAACUAUCGAACAAAAAGUCAACUAAUAAAUUCGUAAAUUAGUAAUUUAAUUCCAUUUUUCAUUAGGAGUUUGGUUCGAUAAACAACUUACCAUCGCUAAGCACCAAAACCAGGUCACUGUCAAUAACAGUAGGGAUACGGUGUGCGAUGGUGCAGACUGUACAAUCCUCAAAUUCUCUUCGGAUAAUCUUCUGAAUAAGGUUAUCUGUAGCUGUGUCAACCGAGGCUGUUGCCUCAUCAAGCACCAAUAUUCGAGCCUGCUUCAGCAAAGCCCUGCCCAACGAAACAAGUUGGCGUUGUCCAACACUCCAGUUGUCUCCACUCUCCAGAACUGGAGAGGUCAAAGUGACAGUUAUUAGCCAAUUAUAAUUUGGAGCUAGCAGACUGAAGCUAAUAAACACAUAUGCGGUCUUUUCUAGUUGCACAUCACAGAGUAAGAAUCACACAUAGAAAGCUUUUGAGAAUUUACUUUUCAUUGGAAAGUUUUACCUAGAAAUUCAUCAUAAACAAGCCCAUGUAAUUAAAAUAAAUGAGGGAUAUCAUAAUAAAUAAAUAUGUUAAUCUAUUAUCUAUGUAUCUUGUGGUCUCUGUAGUAAAACCUAUCUGUGGGUCAAGCCUCUCAAAGAUGCUCCUGCAUAUAAGAAACCUGAUAAAAUUUGUAUAGUUGAGAAGAAAUACUAUUUUCAUCUUCAUUUGAGCUGACAAUCCAGAAAAUUUCGUUUGCAACCCUAGUAUUUACCGAUAGAAACUGCUCAACAGCCUUUGGGCACAUGAACAGGCAACAUACCUGGAGCAUCUAGCUUUUGUGGCUUAGACCGGAUCACCUCUCCAAGCUGACAUUUUUCAAGUGCCUGAAGAGGGAAAAAGUUUCAGAACAUAGUACAAUGUCAAGAGAAAUAAGUGCACAAGGAGUUUCAGGAUCCUGGAUUAGUUUACCUGCCAGAUUUCAUCAUCAGAAUGCUCUUCAAGGGGAUCAAGAUUAACCCUGAUUGUACCCUCAAACAAAGUGGGAUCUUGAGGAAUGAUGCUAAGUCGAGAACGAAGAUCAUGGAGGCCAAUGGUAGAAAUGUCUAUGUUGUCAAUGAUGAUUUUGCCUUCUGCAGGUUCAAUUAAACGGAACAGUGCCUGUAUCAGGGUAGAUUUACCACUUCCAGUGCGCCCAACAAUUCCAAUCUUUUUCCCGCCAGGAAAUGCACAGGUUAUACCAUGAAGGACCAUAGGUAAGGUGUCUUUAUAACGCACCUUUUUUGUUAUUUAAGAGAAAAAUCAAGUCAGUUGUUACCGUAUCUGUCAGUGAAAACAAUAUCCAGUAUUUAAAGCAAGAGAAACUUCUAAAUAUAUCAUCAACAUUUCUGGCUGAAAAUAAGUGAAUUAUUCUCAAGAUAAUAUAUGCUCUAUGUCUAUGCAGAAGUGAUUUUCCAAGUCUGGUUUGCACAAUUGGUUGAGCGGCACAACUUGGAUGAUAAAUUUUAGUCUACAUGGAAAGAUCAUAACAUUAAGAACUUACAUUACCAAACAAUUGUUACAAUCUUUCAUGAUGAUCAAGGAUGCCUUAUGCAUUUAGGAACUUGCACAUUGAUAUUAUAGCAAAUAAUGUAUGGAUUUAAAUUUUGAGAGCUUAGGUUUAGUAUCUUAUAGUGCUAACCUAUAGCACCCUGCAAAUUUUUGUUGCAAUAUAUGCAUUAAAGCAUUACUUACUUGGGGAGGAAAUUAUUUCGAUAACGGUGCAAUUUUACAACCCUCUACAAGAGAGAGAGAACCUUGCAGAACUUUAUUGCCAACAUAAGCAUAAAAGCACUCACCUAUAGUGCAGGAAAAUAUUGGGUGAUUUACCCAGUAGAACCCCAAUUUAUGGGUUGUUACCUAGGAGCCUCCACUUCAGAAUUUAGUUGGGAUGCUCCAAUCUUCUCAAAUAUCUAAAGUGACACUGAAUUGAUAUACUAAACCUUCAAAUGAACCGAAUUGGUUUAUCUUCUUCCAAAUUAAACUUAAAAUAAAUCCCUAGAAUUAUAAAAAAUAGAAAACCAAAUGAUAUUUCAAUCGUGAAAGUUUACGUAUUAUUUAUAUCAUGCGAGUUGGACAAGCUUUAUGGUAUUGCACUCAUAAAUGAACUAUGCUAUAUUCAAUUGCAGAAUCAAGACAAUCAUGUACCAAAUUAAACUAUAAAAGUUCCUAAAAUCAAUAAAAAAAAAAUCAAUGGUUGAAGUUAGAAGAGAGUUAAAAUAUAUAUCAUUUUUCCCUCGAUGGCUAAAGUUUGAGAUGGGUUGAACAAACAUUAUGGUGUUACCCCCAUAAAUGAAACACAAUACAGAAUCCAAUGUAACAUAAUUUUCUUUCAUCUUGAUAUUAUAAUCGAGUGUACCAUAGUUCAUUUACAAGUGAAAUACUAUAAAGUUCAUCCAACUCACCUCACUUUUUUAACAUGGUAGCCAAUUAUGGGAUACAUAAUGAUUCAAUUGGUUUUUCUAAGUUUAAGUGAUUCUAGGAUAUUUUUUAGGAUGAAUUUGAUACAUUUUCAGAUUGAUUCUGCAAUCAAUUAUAACUCAAUUCAUUUAUAAAUGUAAUACUAUAAAGUUUGUCCAACUUACUUUAAUCUUAAAUAUAAUAGACAAAUAUAAUGUAAAUAGUGAUUUUGUUAGUUCUAUUUUAGGGUACUUUAGGAGUUUUUAAGUCGAAUUUGGGUUGAACAAUAUAAUAAUCCUUAAAGGACAGGGGAUACUUGUCCUUUCAUCUUCUUAAAGCAUCCCAAGUAAAUUCUGAAAAGUGGCACACUCCUAGGUAAAAGCCCAUAAAGUACGGUCGUUCUGGAUAAAUUGCCAAAAAUAUUUCAGUAACAAUGUGAUUUCCAUCAAUCAGAGAGAGAAAGCAUAUGGCCCAUGUGACAUAACAUGUCAAUGCACCUUUUUAUCUGAAAACUAACAGAACAUAAAAAGAUGAGAAUAACACAAGUCAAAUAAAAAAAAAUAUGAAAGAAAGAUCGAGUGCAGUAGCUUUAUAGUUUAACAUGAACAUACUUUUAUUAACAGAAAUGUUCUAAGGUGGGUGACACCCACUAGCAAACAUGUUAGACUAAUUUGAGGACCUAGAGAUGGAAGAUAUUGUAGUAGUUCAAGUUAAUUGUGACAUAUAAUCCCAUGUUUGUUCUUCUUCUGCUCUUAUAAGCUAGAAUUAACUAUGUACUCACAAGCACUGCUACUGGUAUAUGUUCAAAUUUUUUAACAAAAUGUCCAUUGGACAUAUCUCAAUGGUCAAAAUGCCUAGUUGCCUAUUAUAAUCCUAUUAAAGAUACUUUACAGAACAAACUCAAAAUCAAAUUUUCAGUAAGUGCUCUUAAAAUCUAGCCAUCACGAUAUAUUGGCAACAAACAUUGGCCUAUAACUAGAAACAAUAUAUCUAAUAACAAUAAUAAAGAUCACUAACAAAGUUCACAUUAAGGGAAAUCAGAAUGUAUGAUUAAAGUAAACAACGAGAAAUAAGAGUGGAUAUGCUAACGAUGUAAUACAUCAGAUGUGGCCAUAAUGAAUUUGCUUUAAGUUAUAGCACUUAUGAACGAGAUCCAAAAUGAUACAACUUGAGUAACCCUUCAUAAGAUAUUCUUCCAACUGCAAGGAAGGCUGAAGAGCACCAACAACCUAAGAAAUGAAUUACUUUAAGUUAAAGGAAUACAUUCUAGCUCUCUAACAAAUAUAAUAGCAUGUUAAUAAUUUGCUGGUCAUCCAGUCAGUAGACGAGACAGAUAAAAUGCCAAGAACUUCAUUUUAUAUUAAGGUUCACAGAUUGAUGAUCAUGUGCCCAUGUGGUUGCAUAAGUUCUUGUAGGAAUGCAUUAAGUUUGUAAGUGCGCAUUUCUACAAUCCAGAAGUUCAUAUUGCAUGACUAGUUGCAUUUUCUUACCUCAGAAUUUUUCAUUAUUUCCCCAUCCCAUGGUGAUAGACACCCUGGUGAUCCACAUUAUCAUAUCUAAAUUUACUUCAUUACCAAGACUAGACGAAGACGUGACAUACCCACAAGUUGAUGUUUAUCUAGUUUGCAUGGGUCACCAAUGACUUCUAUACCUUCAGAUUUUUCUAUAGAAUUGCUCUGUCAACAAACAUAUUGUUACUAUGAACUAAUUAUUGCAGUUGGUCUAUUGUCACCAGCAUUAAAAGGCAUCCAUCAGCCACUCAAGUGUCAAUCAAAGGGGAGCCAAGGCCGGCCAUGCUAAGAGUGUAACUACAUGGAAGCAUCCAGACUAUAGCUACUUAUUGGGUUUGGUCGGCUAUAAGAGGAGCCAGUCAUGCCAUAUCAAUAACUUUAUAACAUAGUGCAUCCACAGAAGCUUGUCCCAGCAGGUAAGGGUAUUCCAGCAUCCCAAUAAAGGAAUAUAUAACUAUUUUAUAUAUUUUUUAGUUUUGAAUAUAUUAGACAAGACUAGUUCAGGUUAUCUAUAUAUAAUAAUUGUAGCCCCCCGGACAUUGUCUUGAAGUUUAUUCUGUAAGUACAAUUGUAAGUCUUCUUCUUUUUUGUCACUUCUCUCUAAUCUUUCUUUUUCUCCUCUUCCCUUUAUAUCUCUUGAAAAUGAUCCUCUUCCCUUGAAAUAAGGUGGCAUUUGAUAGGAACUGGUAAUUCUAUCAGACGUCAAUUUAGUUAUAUGGAAGAGAAAACUUGAAAGAAAGAUCAUGAAUUUAGCAAAGUCAUCAGAAAGACUUGCUGUUCUCUUAAAGAAAAUGGUUUUGCGAUUCAUUAUAAAAUGUUUCACAUGCAUAACUACCCUGCCAGUUGUCCUGGUUAGAAGUGAUGGAAACAAGAUAUUUUAAAUGGAAAAGAAGUGAGGUGUGUUAUCAAUGCCCAGGAAUUAAAUCAGCAAGUUGAUGAUAAACCUAGGGAACUUAAUUAAACAGGGUGAAAAUCCACACAAGGGAAGUAAUCUUAAUACUCAGAUAAUAAAUGUUCCAGGAACAAAUUAUAGCUCUGUCAAGAUAACACAUGAUAGAAGGUCCAAACAACAGUAUAUACUGAAAGUACUUAGUGAUCAAUGUAGUAAUGAACCUGACAAUUAUGUUAGAUAGCAGAACAGAAAUGAGUUCUGAAUACACACCUUGAGAUCAAUCAGUUCAAGUUUUCCAGUCUCUGGCCAUGAAGAUGUAGGGCGACAAUCCUUGACAACAGGUGGUGCUUCGCUUGGGAUUUGGCAAUACUGACGUAUGCGUUCAAUAGAAAUAAUUUUAUUUUCGAGUUUACAAAAGCUCAAUAUCCACCGUGACAAACGGGCAUUAAGAUUUAAGCCAUAUGUUACAGCUAGACCUGCCAUACCUUCAAUACCAAAGCAAAUGUCAUGGAAAUAGAACUUUCCACUAACAAGUCAUGUGAAAUGAAAACAAAAACUCAUUUCAUUUUAAAUAUUAAGGAAGGGGGGUGGGGUGUGUGGGGUUUUGGUGUUGAGGUUUCAUCAGGGUUCAGUCAUGUAUCAGGAAGAAUUUACAAAUUAUCAGAAUGCUGAAGAUUAUUUAGAAGUCACAGAAUACAUACUGGGAUCGAUAGAUCCAUGUGGGAAGCUAACAAGGAGAGCCAUGCAGAAAGCGAAUACAAAAGUUGAGAGCAAUUCCAUCCGCAAGCAAAGCCAUUCAAUUGCUGCAAUACUGCAGAAGAAUGGACGAGCAAAGCAAUCAAGCAAGUAUAGGUUCCUCUUCAUAAAACGUUUUUCUUGACGGAAGCCUCUAAUAGUAGCAGCUCCUGCAAUUGACUCCCCAAAAAGAUGGAUUACCGGGGAUUUUUGGAUGCUAACGAUCCGGACUAGCUCCCUCGAUGAAGCCAUGUAAUAUUUCUGCACAAGUAGUGAGAAUUAUCAGCUAAAACUUAUUCAACAAGAAUUCAUGUACUUGAGGAAUAACCCACAAGUUUACGAACCGUCAUCAUAUCAUACAAACAACACAAUUCAAAUCCAGUAGAAAGUCGCAAUUACACUUCCAGAUAUCAACCAAAAUAAUGGCAUGACAGAAAUUUAAAAGUUCUUUUACUUUGGUACUUCAUGCAAAAUUUUUCAUUAUAGUCUAAUUUCAUUAAAACUGUCUAAGCAUCUACCAAGAAUGUAAGUACUUUAACAAUAUUCCAGAUAUGUAUAUGGUAAAUAUACAAAUGUGAAUAUUUGUAUAUCCCAAAUAUGUAUAUAGCAAAUAUCCCACUUCUUACAGACGGGAGAACAAUGCAUGUUAAACCUAAGUACCAUAAUUAUACAUGAUUUAUACAUGAUUUAUACAGCUCAAGAGUGAAACUCAUAGAAAGACCACCUCAGUCUACAUUCUUGCAGUUUCCAUUCAAAAGCUUUCAAAAAUUGGUAUCUUACACCAAAGCUAAUCAAAUUAUCUCUAAUAGACCGGUUUGAAUGCCACCAAAAAUCAAAUAACUAACCAUCAUAAAUGCAAAAAAAAAAAUCAGUGCCUCUCAGAUUAUCACAGGUAUGGGUGGUACUGAAUGUUGUUCAUGACUUCAUUCUAUGCCUGUUUAAAGAACACAUUCAAUUUGAUAACAAGAAUAACUUUGUCAGCUUUGUCAGCUUUACCACAGUUUGAUAACAAGAGUAACAAGAGUAACUUUACCACAGUUCAAACAGAAGAAUAUACAGGUGAAAUACAACUUUGUCAGCUUUACAAUAAGGAGUAACAAAUACUUUGACUAAUGGUUGAGGCUUUGUAAUAUUUGUUUUCUUAGUACAUUAAUCUCAAUUAACCGAAAUGUUUAGAACCCAUCCGUUGGGAGUACAUAUCUCCAUUCCCUUUUUCACUUUUGUAAACACUACCAAUUAAUUUAGCCAUAAUAAAUGAUAAUUCCAAAAGAAAGUACUUGGAGAUAAACAUUCUUACCAGGUAACAAACAAUAUAAAAAAAUCAUUUUAUCGAAGCUUUGGUUAUCUAGCAUCUAAAAGCUAAAAAGUCAAUAUGACACCAUGGAAUACAAAAUCAGAAUGAUCUUUUUGUACCGACCUUUUAGCAUCACAAGAAAAAAGAACUAUCAUUGCAUCAAAAACUGAUUAUUGUCUUGAGUUCCUAGGCUUUUGUUUUGGCACGAACCAUCCCAUAAUAAGUUGCUAAAAAUACAAAUGUAUGUUCCUAUCAUGACUUCCCAAAAAGAUAUUAUCUGACCAUUGGCAAAACACAUAGACUAGAAGACAAUCAUUGCAUCAUUUUCCAGACAAUUGUCAAUAAUACUGUCAGACAGUAGAUCUGUAGAAAUCAAUUACCUGCAUCCAUAAGCAAGCAAUCGCCAUGGGGACAAACAGAAACAGAACUUGCCAAGUAACUUUAGUCAUUACACCAACUAUACCAAGAAGUUGUAUCGUUGUUGAAGCAAAACCACCAAGUCUGAAAGGUAUAUCAAGAUCCACAACACUUUGAUCCACAGAGACCUGAUAAUUUGUAAAUUCAGAUGAUAAACAAUGUUGAAAAAUAUAGAAUAACACAUGAUAGACAUGUUAAAUAAUAACACCAAAUAUUAUUACUUACUCGAUUCAGGAUCCGCCCAGCUGGAGUAGAAUCAAAAAAUGACAUUGGUGCUCGAAAGACAGUUUUAAGCAUGCUUAGAAACAACUUCUGUGCAGCUGCUAGGCCAAAUGUAGCUACAAGAACAGAUCUUAUAAAAACAAACAGCGAACUCCCAAAAGCAAGGCUCAUAUAGACAACUAAAAGAACCACACUGUUUGUCUUUGGUUUGUCGCCUCUAGUUUGAGGAUUUGCCCAUGCCAUCCACCAGUUGCCUGCUAUUUGGAGCACCUGAAACAUAAUCUGAGCAAGGACAAUUAAUGGUAUUAAUGUUCCUCUAUAUGCCGCAGCCAUAUAUGAUAAGUAUACUUUUAAGCUAACUCUUCCUCUUUCACGUUCCUCUUCUUGAGCCAGCUGUUUCUUUCUCAUACGUUUCACUUUCUUUUUCUCUUUUAUUGCUUUUCUCUCAGAUGGCAGUUCAUCUUCCGGUGCUUCACUUUUCAUUUGAUCAAUAUUGCUUGGACUUGAUGUUAACCUUUUCCUAUUGGGUUCACUUGAAUCUUCUAAAAUAUCCAUUGUUUCAAUUGCUUCAUGGUGAGCUGAAACUAAAGCAUUAAAGUCAGUUCCAGCCUGCAAAAGCUCUUCAUAUCUUCCAGCCUGGAUUAUCCGACCAUCUUUCAGGACCUGCAGCAGUUAAAAUGAGCUAAGAAUAACAUGGUGAAAUUUUCGUACAUGGACCUGAAUAACUCCUACAAGGCUGUCCUUUUUCAGAUUGGUCAUUCAGUAACUCAAGUAUCAAUAUUUAUAUUGCAAAUAAGUUCCAAUCAAUUUGCAAUGGCAGUUGAUCAAUCAAUUUCAAGAAAGAACCUUUUUCACAAAAUCAUUUACCUCACAGCAGUAAUCUUCUUAACAAAUAUUCAGCAUAUCAAUGAGAAUAAGGUUGAUGCAUUUUUAACUUCAUACAACCAGAAAUGGGAACAAAACACCAACUUCACCACUUAACUUGUUGGCUGUCAAUUCUUGAUAACAGCAAAUACUAGUUACCAGCUGUGAAACUUAGAAGCAAAUAAUGGGGAGAAAAAAUAAGUUUAUAUAAGGCUGUAAGCACUGGGAAACAGCUGCAAGAAAAUUGGCAAUAAUGUGGACGAUUUGGCUGUUGAUGGUGAUUAAAAAAAAUGGAGGAUCUUGUUGGUUGAAGUUUAGGGAAUGAAGUAGGUAAAGGACAGAUGGGAUAUUGACAAUUUUAUUUAAACUGUUAGAGAAUUCUUCAGCAGCUUUCUUAUAUAACAGCCAACAAGAACAUAAGAUCUUUAUAAGAAUGUAAAAGAGGGACUUUUUUUUUCAUAUUAUGAAACAAUAAAUUGAAAUUGAAGAUGCAUAAAAUGAGUUAUUACUUAGUAGAACAUAUCUAAAGCUUGUCAUACCAGUAUCUUGCCAGCAGCUGGUAGAAACUCCACUUGAUGAGUAACAUAGAUUACAGUCUUGCUAGCUAAUGCACUUAGUAUGUAUUCCUGCAAAAUUACAUGAGUUGUGGGAGUCAGGUUGCUAGAAGGGACCGAAUGAGGAAGAGCUGUGGAUCCUAACCUUAAAUAGCUCACUUCCUGUGUGAGCAUCAAGUGCACUGAAAGGAUCAUCAAGUAAAUAAAUGUCUGCAUCUUGAUAAAGUGCUCUAGCAAGCUGCACUCUUUGUUUCUGGCCACCACUCAGGUUAAUACCUCUAUCACCAAUGAUGGUUUGAUCUCCAUGCAACAACAAUUCCAAAUCCUUUUUCAGACAACAAGCAUGAAGAACUCUUUUGUAUUUUGGCUUAUCCAUUGGGCUACCGAAAAGAAUGUUUUCCUCUAUAUUUCCAGAUUGUAUCCAAGCAGACUGAGGGACAUAAGCUGCAGAGCCACUUAUCCGAACCUGGAAUAGGAGAGACAAGUCAAAAGUGACCUAGAAAAGAGUUACACUAUAAAGUCAAUCUUUGGUGUAUUACUUACUUCUCCGGAAGUUUUUGGUAUCUCACCCAGAAUACAAGACAGGAAACUUGACUUGCCAGAACCAACUAUGCCACAAACUGCAAUACGCAUGCCUUUUUCAACUUUCAGUUGUAUCCCAGAGAGUGUUGGUGUUGCAGAUGAGGGGUCCCAACAAAAUUCUCCAUCCUUGAUUUCAAUAGCAUUGUUCGUAAGGCCCCGAGGAACUACUAUGGUGGCAUCUUCUUGUAGCUCUUCCUCUUGUAAGAACCCAGAUAUCCGGUCCAGAGAAACCUUUGUCUGAGCAAUCAUGGAAAUCAAAUCUGGAAAAUUCCUAAGAGGCUCCUGAAGAAUUCUAAAAGUAGCUAAAGCUGAAAGUACACCACCUGCUGUAAGAUGACCACCCAACAAUAUAGAAGUAGCAAAGGUUACAACUGAGACAAAUAUAGGAGACCCCCAGAAAAUGAAGGUUAUAACAGAUUGUGCAUAUAAGGCUUUUCGGAGCCACUUGAACUCCACAUUCCUCAUCUCCUCUAAUUUCAAGCGGUACCUGUCUUCCCAAGCCUCCAGCUUUAGGAUUCUCAUGUUCCUCAAACAUUCAGAGGUCUUCCUCAUUCUGUCAUCCUUGGCAGCCAUUAAAUUAUCCUGAUACUCCUCUUGUAUCUUGGCGAGAGGAAUUGUAACAAUAAUGGAGACAAUGGUAGCCACCAGUGUUGCAACCGAUGCAAUGCCCACAUUUUUGUACAAGAUUGCCAAAGCAAGAAUGAUUUGUAGUGGAAGCAUCCAUAUAUCAUGGAGGUACCAUGAAUAAUCACCUAUUCUCUGCACAUCAACUGCCAUGUAGUUUACUAUCUCACCGCUUGUAUGGCUCUGUCGGGAUGUGCUUGAUAACCUAAGCCCUUUUCUGUACACCAUUGCUGUCAAGGCUGAUCUAACAUGCAUGCCCAAUAUAUCUACUCCUAGGUACCACUGUCGGGUGGUAAGAGUCUCUAUCAACUUAGCAGUAAAAAAUAUCGAGGCCAAAAUGUAACCCUCAUGAGGAAAUGCUAUGUUGCCACUCAAAUAAUCAACAAAAUAGCUUAUCAGAUAUGGACCAACAUAAGAAACUGCAGUGAACAAUCCAGCAAAUAUAGCAUUGAAAGCAGCUUCUUUCCAGAAUGACCGAAAAAUGGCCAAUGCCAAUGAUGGCUGGUUCUCAGGGUACUCAGCUUUCAACCUCUCCCAAUUUGAAUUCAGUAUCUUGUAACAAGUCUUUGAUCGUUCUUUUGUGGCUAGCAAAGGUACAUCCCGUAUCUCUAAUGGCCUUUUUGCACCCAGCAGCAAGAGUGAGUCAAGCCAGGACAAAGUUGCAAUGCUGAAAAGACCUGCCUCACUGUAAGGUGUGACUCUAAGACAGCCCGCUUCUUCUUCUCCGGCAAGCAAUGGUUCCCUGAGGUCUCCAUGGGCCCUAUAAAGUUCUACAGAUGUGACACCCCGAACUGAGGCAACGAGAAGGAAGGCAAGGGCAGGUGACGAGGCAUAAUUUGCUAGUAUGUGUGAAUUUAGGAUAAUCAAAUUCGUUAUCAAUCCUUUGGUAUCAAGGUAACCAAUGUAAAGACAGAAGAUGAAUGAAAUAAACCACCAUAACCUAAUCAAGAAUGGAAACUUGGCCAAUGCCUUCAAUUUACAGUGGAAUACCGAUGAACCCAAGACGAGCCACGCCAAUCCUUGCACGGCAGGCAGGUAGAGAAGAGUGUAAUCCCUUGAUUCAGCGUCUCUUGUAAGGAAGGUCACGGUUUCAUACCCCAAGACCGCCGCUUGAAGGAAGAAAACGAAGAAGCAGCAGAAAGCUGUGAUCUUGAACCAAUAACCGACUAUCACAAACCGAUCGCAACCAGAAUCGCCACGAACGGGAUGAGGGCUCUGGACGUCAUCCUUGGGAGCCGGGAUGCGGCGGAUGGCGCAGGCGAAAACUCGCCGUGCAGAGGCAAAGAACAAGAAGAAGAGAAGCAGCGAUGCAUGGGUGGCCGCCGCGACCUGCUCGGGAAAAGGGAGGUCGCCGAACGAGCUGAGGGAAAACGAACCCAUAGCCCGACAAACGAUUGGAUUUUGAUGAGAGAUCUCGAACGGUAAGGGGUCAAGGCGAAGACUUCAGCUACGGGCAUUUCACCACCGAUGGUACGGAGAUUAAAAGAGAGGAGGAGAACUAAGGAACGGCGACAUGUUGCAGAGAGAUUGAUGUCCGUUGCACAGCAGCAGAAGACACAUUGCACAUGACAACAAAAGGGGCUUCCUGGUCAUCUACCAAAGGAAAAGAAAGGAAAUCAUGCGCAAACAGACAAGCGAAAACCAGAGGAAAACCCCGAACAAUCCAAUCUUUACCGACCUGGUCCGCGGGGCUCCCUUCUCGUUCCACCUCCUCUCCUUUCUCUUUCUCGUUCGAUGAUUCCAAAGCUGUGAUCUUGAGAGGUGUGAGUGACUGAUAGAGGUGCAGGGAGGCGGAGCAGGGCAAACGGGGUGCGCUCUCGUGCUCUAAAUUCCAAUGGCUUCUCCUAUCGCCGUCUCCUCCGUCCUACUCUCUUUCCUACACCAAACCGGUGGGAUGAUGCUACCGCGAGGCCACCCUGGAGACGGGUAACACGGGAGGGGGAUUUGCAGUGACAUUGGCCUGUGGGGGAUGCAUCCGAUCGAGUGGUGGGUGAGGCGGGUGGAUUUCGGGAAACCUCUAUUGCGAGUCUAAAAGAUGGUGUUGAAGGCGAGGCUGUGCUCAACUUUGUCUCGGAUUGCUCUUUUACGGCUGAUGCAAUGUUGCAGGACUAAUUAUUAGCCAUGAGAGGGGUGACAAUAGCUUUGUGUGUGAAGCUUUAUUUCCGCAUGCAAGGAUGAGGAGGAGGACGAGUAGGACACAGAAAAUGGCAGGGCUCCUCUUUUGCACAAGAAUAGCAUGAGGAUGAUUGCCAAACUCCCCAUAAUUUAUAUUCUGAUAUAUUGACAAACACAUUGUUAUGAUGGAUGGAUAGAUAUCCUCUGGUCAUGCUGUUGAACAGUUUUAGAUUCGACUCAUAUCUUUUUUAUGUUUCCGUUAUGUGUUUAUUAUGAAAUCAGGCAUUAAAAAGAUAUUUAAGGUUUAAAGAUCUGAGCGAAUUCCAAAAAAAAAAAAAAAAAAUUUAUUUUUUCCCAAAAAUAUCUUUCAUUUUCAGAUCUUAUUUCUCUCCUCUCUUAUAUAGUAUAGACCUGUCAAUCUAAUUAUAAUAUAUUUAUAAUAUUUUUUUUAAUAAUAAUAAAAAGUAAUAUAAUUCAAGAAAAAAUGAGUAUUGUGUUUACAUUAUAAAUAUAGUAUUUUUAGAAAUUUUAUAUAACAAUUUAUAUUAUAAUAUUUGUUAUAAAUACUAUGACACAAUGAAAAAAUAGAUGACUAAUAAAAAUAUUUCAGAUAGUAGGAAAAAAGAUUCUAGUAGAGAGUUUUGACAAGGAAGAACACCACCACCUAGGAAAAGUCAAAAGGACUUCAGCUACAGCUACGGGCAUUAUUGUCGUUGGAUCGGUUGACCGUAUGGAUGAAUCAAUAAGAAAAGAGGAAAAAGAGAUAAAUGACUAAUAAAGAUAUUUCGAAAACUAGAAAAAAAUAAAAGACUCUGUAAAGUCAAAAAGAUGAUUUUUACAUAUGCACGCAAAUUAAACUUUGUGGCGUUGGUUGGAAUGAAAGGAGAUGAUAAUGCAUGGUGGAGUGUGACUGUGAGAGCAUCUCUCUCUCUAAAAGAACAUUUUUAGGUGAUGAUGCGAUGAUGCAAUCCAUUUGCUUGCCAGCAUUCAUCGACACUAUUACUGAUUUAUUUAUUUUUUAAAAUUUUAUUGAUAAGAUCAUUUAGUUUUACGUUGAUUAAGGAGUAUAUGAAUCAAUGGUUCAUAAGUCCGUAAGGUCUCCCUUAUCCUUAAAGAUAUUUUUUGAAACUCACAUAUUCCGAAAAGAUAAAACGGAGGAUACGAUGUCUACACCUCGAUCGAACAAACUUAUACAUUUGUAUAAUAUUUUCUUUGUUUACACUAAUUGACAUUAGAAUUAAUAUAGAUUAGCUAUUUUCUAACCACAAAUAUUUGGGAUAAGCGGAAAAGAUGAAUCAUCCAACAUCUAUCAAGACCAAAAACAAUAAAGAAAAAUCCUCCGUAAGAUAGAUACUACCAAAGAUUAAGAGGCUUGAGGAUGAGUCAGCAUACGAACUCAUUUAAUGCCGACGACUCAUGCCGAUGAAACCACCGGAGACAUGAAUUAGAUCAGCACAGUCAUGGAAAGAACUUAAAGCGUGUAGUGUUUUCUCGCGAGGCGGAGGACAAAGCCGUGGAUUGCGACUGUGGCUUCCACGCGAGGACGGAGUUGGUGCAAUGCGUCGGGUGUUGAGGCACCGCAAAUUGGUAUGGUUGCGACCCGCCACCCUGCAACACGGUGGCGGCCACCUGCACAUGUGUUCCUUCUCAUGACGCCACAGGUGUCCUGUUGAACUCUCCGGCCGUCGUCUCUUGUGCAUUAAUAAUGUAUAUGUAUUCUUAUAUUUCUUGAUUAAAGCUUAGAAUAUAUUUCAUGAUUCUUCUGCAUCAAAUAUGAGUCAAAAUCAAUAGGAGGAGGGUAUUGUAAUGUGCACAUGCACACAAAUUUGUUGGGUCAUAAUAAUUGACCUAUUUAAUGAAAGCGGACGGUGGGAUGAAUUGGAUAUUAGUCAGAAUGAUGUAACACCUCAACCACUGGUUAUAGUCGGACACCAAAGUCAUAUAAAGUAUUAGCUACGUAAACACGUAUUGAGAACGAAAUGAUACGUAGCAUAUCUUGUACUACAAAACCCAUCAAUCAAAUAGAAGUAUUUGUAAUGGAUACAUGAGAAAACUUAUCAUUGAUUUUGGCGUUCUUUGAACAUUAACAAGAUUCUUAAUCAUGCAAUUAAUUUUUCUUAUUUAGAAAUAGUGUCAUGAUUUUGAUUUGAGAAUGACCUAAUUAAUUUUCAGUUGGAUUAAGCUUUCUAAACACAGUAUUUAAGGACAUUAAGCCAGUGGAUUCUCAUUGAUUACAUGAGAGGAAACCAUAAAUCGGGAUAACAUAUUUACAUGUAAUUUUAAGAGUAUUCUUCCAUUCCCUAAAUCCGGAUACAUAUGAACAUAUUUACAUGUAAUUUUAAGAGUAUUCUCUCAUUCCCUAAGUUUUUGUUGCCUUUGUUGCUUGAUUAAUAAAUCAUCACAAUGCAUACAUAAUGUGGUGUCAAAAGAAUGUAUUCUAAUUAAAUUUUUUAUUAAAAAAUAAAAAAAUUAUUACAUCAAAUAACAUAUAUGAUGGUGACGUAUAGAUUCAAACCUUAGACUUAUCACCAUUGUACUAAUUAAUUGGGAUGUGAAACUUCUAAAUUGAACUUUCAAAGCUCAUAUUUUUGCUCGUUUAGAAUAUUUUUAUUUGCCCCACCAUCGGUAUGCAACAGGAAUCAUAAAAGAUUCUAUGGCUGGGAUUAAAUUAUUAUGAUUAUUUUUUGAAAACUAUGAUCUUUUACAUCGUGGUAGAGGAAGUCAGCAUGACUUGGUUCAGUCCCGGGUGCAUAAGAUCGUCCACGUCGAUGUUCGAUCACCAGGGAACGCGGUCUAGCAAGGUCAGGCUAGAGCUCUUGCUUCAAUGUCGGGAAACUCCCUUUGGUGGACCGUCUGCCCUUCUUUCGUCGGUCCCUGCACACAGGUCAGAAAGGGGGCUCCCGAUUUUGAUCCCUCCGAAAAUCUUGUUAUAAUUGAGUGAAAAAUUACCGACCAUCGUUGCUGCCCCCACGAAGGAUUUUUUAUCCUUCCCCUAGGGGACCAGUUGUACAUGUCAUAUUUAUGAUUUCCGACACUAUACUUGGUCGGCGUCGUCCUAAAUCCUGCGAAAUGGUAUAGUACUCGGUCGGCAUCGUCCCGACCUUUGCGGGACGGUGCUGUACUCAGUUGCGUCGAUCCGAUCAUUCUGGGAUAGUGCUGUACUCGGUCAGUGUGACUCUUGUGGGAUGGCAUGAUACUCGGUCAGCGUCGUCUGACCUCUGCGGAAUCGGCGUUGACCGAGAGUACAGUCCAACGUGUUAACCUUGAUAUUGAUGUGACUAUAAAUAGUGAUAGUAGAGCAGGUUACCAAAAUAUAUGCGAGUAAAUGGCAUCGAGUGAAUGUACACGUCACCUCAAACGUGUCAAGGAGCGAAGGGGCAUGCAUAAAUAUACAUGCACAGUAUACUUCUCACUUAAGUAUGUGCAUGGGCCUUAAUAAUAACAUAUCAAGCACACACAAUGGAAGAUCCUCUCAUAGCAUCACUACUUCACAUUGAUUAUGAGACAAUCUUUGACAUCAUCAUGUUUCUUUAGAAGUUCGGCAGGCAUAUAAAAAGGGGAAAGUUAGGAUGAUUUCAUGUCAAGCAUCUUUUUGGAGACCAUAUAAGAGACUCUAUGUUGUCUUAUAGCCCUGUAUGCACAAUAUAUAACUGAUAGAGACACAUGAUCUUUGAUUUUGCAUAAGGAGAUACUGAAACAAUCCCUGUCCAAUUGUUCUUCGAUAUCAGAAUUCAGGCAGCAAAGACACCCGCCCGUGAUCAUAUCCAAAGAGCAUAUUCCAUGUGAUUGUGAAACAGGUGCUCCCCCACAGCAGCACCAUCGCAAAGAUCACCUGAUGCCACCCUCGGAGUGCUUUGGUACCACAUUAUCCUCCACAAGGCUUAUCCAUGAGAGGAAAAUCCUAGCCUUAAUCCCAUGCUCCUUUCAGGCUGCAUGUUGGUCAAGUAAUGGGAGCUAGUCGUUCAUGAAAGGUAUCUGCCAGAUACUAUUUCUGAAUGCAUAUACUUCUAAUGCUUGGUUUCUCAGGUAGCUUCAGGAGGGGAUAUCCUCCAAAGCACUGUCCAUUAUUCAAGGAGUUGUGACCAUGAAAAGCUACUCCAGUAGGGAGAGGCAUUGAUCCCAUGCAAGUGGAAGGGGGAGAAUCCUUGAAAAGAGAUUCAUAAGAAUAAAGGAAGGAGGUGGAGCAGGCAGCGCUAGAUCAGAAAUCAUGAAGCAGCUUUUCCAUCCAAUCGUGCGUAAUGGACAACUCAGACCACAGCUCAUGGCUUGUACAUCUAGAGGUGCAAUACACAUGUGGAAACCAUUGCGAUCCUUCUGUGGAGGAUAGAGACAUGACACCAGAAAUAAUUCGAGGGAGACGAUGACGGAUCUCACAGAUGCACAGUAGGAUGUACAGACAUGCAUUGACGCACUGAUGAUGAUAUAGAAUUGAUGUAAGAACUUAAUCUCGAUGGAACAGUCCAAGAUAGAUUACGUAACGUUGUAGGAGAUUUGUUGGGUAUCUCUGAUGUCCAGGAUGGGCCAAACCUGUACUGUUCCUUGAAUUCUCAGUUUAGAGUGGGCGAGUUCGGUGAUAGAUUCUGGGCAAUAGAUUUGCUCUCGUGAAUUCCCAGUUUAGUAUUGGUGUGUUUGGUAAUAAAUAGUUUGGGGGUUCGGAUCUGCCAUUUUUGUAGUUAAUAUAGUUCUUAUUUCUUCUGCGAGCAGAUAUUAGUAAAUCUCAUCCUACCUUAGUAACUGCUCUGAUAUCUGAAUCUGACUCCAAUUCGACAUGGAUGCCUAAUAAAUUUUGAUUUCCUUCGUAUAAUAGAAUUGCUCUUAAAAACUCAUUCCUAGGCUUCAAAAUCUUUACCGUGAAGUAAUAAUAUUCUUGCGAGUAUAUAUUUUCAAACUUGAUCCAAGCUGGAAAAACAUAGCCUUCACCACACGGGGUCGACGUGGCCUUGGGAGCUGGAGGUGUGGCCAUAUAGUCAUAUAGCCAUUAGGAUCAUCUACCAUCUGUCAGUCGUGUGUGGCUAAUGUGGCCUCGAGUGAUCGACGUGUCAACCACGUGUAGACAUAUGAUAAUAAACUAUUGAUCAUGUCAUUUGCCACCUAUCACUAGGCCCUUGUCUCUUGGCUUGUUUGAAUGCAUCACUAUUGAGUCGAGAAGCGACUUCAAUCAACACUAUGGGUGUUAUAUGAGAGAUGAUUGGCAUUCGAUUGGGGUGUCAUCGAUAUACGCAUUUGGCCUUUUCGUUAUGCAUUGUUGAUAUAUGAAUUAGUCUUUAUGGUUACAAAUUUAGCCUUUUGACUAUGCGUCAUCAAUAUGCAUAUUCGAUCUUUCGACUAUAUGUUGUUGAUAUGUUUACCCUUUCAAUUAUAUAUCAUCAAAUAUACGUAUUUAACAUUUCCGGUGUGCAUUAUCAAUAUGCAUGUUUGCUCUUUCUACUGCAUGUCAUUUAUGUGCAUGUUUGGCAUUUUAGUUAUGCAUCAUUGAUAUAAGUGUUUGGCUUUUCAACUAUACGUUGUCGAUAUCUAUUAGUAUAAAUUCUUGUGGUUCAAGUUAAAGAUAAUCUUAGAUCUAACGGAGGUUAUUCUCGUGUCAAUCUUAGUCCAAGUUACUGGUAGAAAAAGGUAAACUUAUAAAACUAAGUCAGAGGUGUUCCCCAAUGCUCCUCCGACAAUUCAGAAACCCUUUUUAUAGGUGAUUUUAAGGGUUAUUACUCCCAAAAUCAACAAUGAUCAUGGAAAUGAUCGUUGUGUCGAAUUGGGAUAAUGGCAUACAUUGUGUCGAAUCUCGAGCAUUCAUUUAUUAACUUAAUCCAAGCUCGAAACACAUGAUGUCGAUCAUGAGGGGUUAUUAUAGCCCCCAAAGAUUAGCGUGUCAACCACGUAGGCUCGAUGUGUCAAUCACAUAUCAAUCAUUCACCAGCUCUCAUAUUCAAACUGCAAGAUUAAUUGUGACAAUCUUUGUAACAUAGUCACUUCCUAGUCGAAAACUACUUCAAACCUUCGCUUUGCAAAUGCCAAGGCUUAGACAUUGUAUCCAUGUAUUUAUACCUUGUUACUUAAAUAGAAAGACUUGGUAAUAAACAAGUAUCAUAAUGCAACAUAUAAAGAAUAUAUUACCUUCAAAACAUUUACUGUUGUAAUUGUAUACCUAUAAAAAAUAUAAUAAAAGUUUUAUUACUUAUACAAGCGUAUUUUUUUCUAUUUUGGUAUUUUGUAGAAGCUUGAGGCUCUAAAAAAUUUAAAAAUAAUAUGAUUAAGUAAUAAUUACUGAGUAGAUAUAAAAUAAAAUGAUAACAACAAAUGGUAUACUAAAUGAACAGUAAAUUAAAUAAAUUAUUUAAUUAAUAAGAUAUAAUAUAAUAACAAUAACAAUAUGAAACAUUCAUAAAUAUCAUAACAUAUGUCACUUAUCGACAUACUUAUAUCAAUCGAUAACUCAUUAGAACUCCGAAUGGAUAACUAUCCAAUAACAAUGGAAUAGGGUCUAUAUUAUACUUUCAUUAGUGUAACGUCUUUCACUGGCCACAAGUGAAAAUAUAUUUUUCCUUUUCUAGGAAGAAGGAGACUAUUAGUUGUCAUGUCUAUAACCCACUAAAUCCCUAAACUAAAUCAUCCUACCAAUAGUAUUUGAACGACGGUAAUCAAUAUCAUCAAUAAAUAUCAAUAGUGAUGCAAGUACAUAUUAUAUAGUGUUUUAGUAUACCGAUCUAGAUAUGAAAAUUCAUAUUAUAAAGCUCAUCAGUUAAUAUUCAAUGAAAUUAAUAUCAAGUAAUAUAUAUAUUUUAAUAUAAUCAUAUAAUAAUUAUUAUUUAUACAUAACUAGUGUCAUGUAUAAUAGAGGCAAUCUUCUAUGCCAAUAAUAACUUAACAUGUGAUAGAAUAUAUAGUAAUACAGUCAACAAUGAGGAGACAAAACCUGAUCAAUAACUGGGUCAUGUAGACAUUAGUCCAAAAGGAUAAUUGAGGAAUGUCCUCUCUAGGAACAUUUCGUAAAAUACCCAUUAUAAAAAGUAGGGAUGUUGAUCCAGCAAGACAUUAGUCUCAAUCUUUUCCCCCAUAUCUCAUCCUCACCCCCAUUCCCCAUUUAAAUAGGCAGGCAUUAGGAAUCCCCAUUAGGAGUAGGAAAAUCAUAGGUCUUUUUCAAUUGUCCUAAUUAAUUUAUUUUUAUAAAAAUUAUUAUCAAAACUAAUUAAUAGUUUAAAGAUUAACAAUAAUAUUUACAAAGUAUACAUGUCAUAACAAUAUUCAUAUAUAAAUAUAACCAAAUAUAUUCAAAUAUAACCACAAUCAAAUAAAUAUAAAUAUAUCUAAAUAAAUUUAUAAAUUAAUUUUUUUUAUUAAUCUCACUUUUUCAAUUCUUUGCUCAUGUAUAUGCAUGCAAGAUGAAUCUUACAUAAAUAAGAAAAAGUAUAAAGUGUAUAGCAACAAAAGCUUAAAAAUAAAUAAUAUUAUUAAAACUAAUAUAUAUAUUAGUUAUCUUAUAAUCAUCUUUAUCAUCUUCGAAUACAAUGUUUUGAAUAUAUUAUUAAACAUUAAUUAUAACAUAAGAAAUAAUAAUUAAGAAUUAAUACUAAAUAAAUAAAAAUUAAAAUAUUUUCACUCGAAUUAAUAUUCAUACAAUACAUUUCAUCCCAUAAUCAGUCUUAAACUUUUGGUGGAAUAUUUUUAUUUUUUAUAUUUUUAAAUAUAUUAAAAUUAAAUAUAAAAUUGGUUUAAUGGUUAAUGUUGGAGUUAUAGAUGUUGAGUUCAAUUCUUAAAUGCAUAUUUUUAUUUAUAUUAUUAUUAAUAAAUAUUAUAUUAUAUAAUAAUAUAAAUCAAUAGAGAUUAGUAGGGUAGGUCCUAUACAUAUCCCCACUCAUAAAUGUGCGGGUAAUAGAAAAUACAUCUUAUUAUUGUUUAUAUCUUCGUCUAUGUCUCAUUAGGGGCGAAUCCUAGUACAUACUUGUACUCACAAACAUAAUUGACAUAUUAAAAUAAAAAAAUAUCUUAAGCAUAACAAUCAAGGUUAAUUAUUUUUUACUAAAUCUACUCUACUUUUGUUGAGACUGACUUCAAUGUUAUAGAAAUUGAAUUAGGAAACCUACUUGAUCUUGGUCUUCAUAUAGGUCAAAAUUGAAACGUGCACCCAAGUCCACCUUAAUUCUCUAAGAGCAUUUGCAACAUCAUCGGCUUCAUCACCAUCAAUUUUAUAUUUCUAAAGAAUGAUACAUCAACUAUUAUACCAUAAUAAUAUAGAAAGACAUGAUAUAUCAAUCAUAUUAUAUGAAAUAUUUCUAAAGAAUCAUAUAUGUUAGUCAUAUAGUUUUAAUUCAAUCAGGUCUAGAGUUCAAAUCAUAAUAAUAACUAUUUUUAUUUCAUUACUCUAAUUUAUUUCUUAUGUAUUACAUAUCUCAUUAGACUUGCUUCAUGAGUGGAUUGCUUUUUACUCAUGCCUCCUUCGUGGAUUGAUAUGUAGCCUCAUACCUCACGACAGCUUCGACUCUUGUCGGCUUUGUUAUUUACUUCCCGGAGAUGAUAGAGAGAACUAUGUCCCCGAAAGCUAAGGUGGGAAUCGCCCUUGCGAUGAUGGACGAAACGGCCGCAGCUGCAAGGCUAUCCUCCAUGGUCUUAUGUGGUUUCCUCCGGCGAGCUUGGAGGCUGCUCCCACCACGCCGGCCAGAAUUGCGAACACUAGGAAGUAGAAGGUCGCACCGUCGCCCGCCACACCUACUCACGAGUUCAUUCAACAACAUAGCCCAAUGGAUCAAUUAAGUUUACUGUUGUAAGCAGCAUAGUUCGAUGACGUGGAACUAGUAAGGGAAGGAGAACACUCCCAGGGUAAUUGCUCUGGCCAUUGAUGAAGUGGUUGAGGUUCCAGCUCGCGAAGCCUUUCACGAUUAUGUACAUUAUGAAGUUGAGAAACAGCAGCGGCGUCUGAGCCAUCUAGAGGAAGACGAACACUCCACCGCUGCUCCUUGAAGGCUCUAAAAGCACAGAAGACGGCUACAAGAAAAGCUUUACUUCACCAUCCUUAGAUGCUCGCCGACUUCUCGGGCAGGGUGGGGAUGAGCAUGCAUGGGAGCCUAAAUAGCAAGGUGGCUGUGUCGGCACGGAGGUGACACGUGUGACAGAAGCAACAUGAGCUCGGGGCUUUUCGAACUGUGUGCCAUGGGUGUCCUUACGUUCCCAUAGCUCUCCCCGACUUGGCACUUGAGAGAGUGAAAUCAUGCUUCUACACCUGAUCAAAUAUGAUGACAAUAAUUAGAUCAGUUGCAUGGGUGUAUCUUGUGCUUCUUUAUGUGAUAUGCUCCAUACUGGUGUCAAUUAUGCAUCAAGCUACUAUUGGCCCACUUCAAAGGAUAAGAGAUAAAAUUAAGAUGUGAGCAUAAGAUAUCAUUAGUAACCAUCAAAAAAAUUUAAUUAAUAUAUUUAAAAAUUAAUUGGAUACAUAGGUAUUGUAUGCCAUAACUAAACUAAUAUUUCAAGCAUAAAUAACACUCCAAACUUUGAACCUUUUCUAAGUGGAUAUGAUAUACAAAAACCCGAAUAUGAUGGAUGAUAUGGACUCAAACAUGAUUGGAUCCGAUGGGUGACUGGGCUGGACCCGUCGUGCUUUCAUAUUUGUGGUGCUGGUUCUUUAAUCGUCACUGAUACAUAUUCUAGUAAGCUUUUUUGAGUGGCAAAGAUGCUUAAAGAUGUUAGUACUUGAUAGUGCUUCUUGUCUUUAUCAAUUGCAUUCACCUCCAACGUACUUCAUCCCACCAUAGUCAUUUUAAUGACUCUAAUGAGUAAAGAAGUGGCAUCACAAAGUAAAGUUGCUUGAGAUCUCGGGCCACAUGUUUCUAAGAUAUGCUUCAGCCUCGUUCUAAUCUCUUUAUGGAACAUAUAUUAUUACUCUCCAAUAUGUAUUGUUGUCAGCAAGGACUCGAGUACUUGACAUCGAGAAGUGCCACGAGAACCGCCCUAUGUGUCAUCAGGUGCGUCAGCGAGAUUCCACAGGGUUCCCCACGAGCCCUCCUCGGUGGAGCCAUCGCUCAGGUAGCCGUCGAAGCCGCCGCCCGGAAGCAUGAAGGUCACCGAGUUCAAGUAGGUCAUCUCCUCCAUGUCUUCCACCGGUGUGGCUUCCUCCGCUUGCUCCAUGAACGCUCUCACGUCCGCUUGUUGCUGCUCGGCGUCCUGGUGCUGUUGGUCCUCCAGCCGCUGCCUGAUGAGGAAUCUCGCUCUCGCCUUCUCCACGUUCUUUGACGGCUUGCUCUUCUUGAAAUGGGUCCUCCAGUAGUUCUUGAUCUCGUUGUCGGUCCUCCCUGGGAGGCUUCGGGCGAUGGUGGACCACCUACACGGACACACACGGAGAUGAAGACGACAACAUAAGAAAUGGUUGUUUCUGGCAGUGAAUACCUGUUUCCCCACAAGGCAUGCAGCUCUUGAAUGAUGUUCUCCUCUUGUGUAGUAAUAUUCCCCCUCUUGAGGUCAGGCCUCAGGUAGUUCACCCACCUCAGCCUACAACUCUUCCCACUCCUCCUCAGACCUGCAGUGCAAAAACCAGCAGCAGCAGCAGAACAACAAGUUCAGCAACACGUAAGAAAUGAAAGCAACGCAGAAAACUGUAGUUAAUAUAGAGACCAAAGAUGAGUAACUGAGCCAUGGCGAUCGAUUACCUGUCAACUUGGAGACCGAGUUCCAUUUUCCUUCACCAUGGAGGUUGACAUGCUCCAUGAGGAGCUUAUCCUCUUGUGCAGUCCACGGCCCCUUCUUCCAGCCCUCAUUAUCCAGAGUUCCCAAGCCAAACUUCGCAUCCAUCGCCUCACCCGUAACUUCCACUAUAGCAGGAGCAAUCGAGAAUAUCUGAUUAUAUAUAAGCCUUCGCCUUGUCGAUCGGUGAUGAGAAAAAGACGAAGCACGAGUAUGAUAGCAUGCUUACACCGUACUCGAUAGUGAUCGAUGGCAUGUCCUUUCCAGAAGCAUAAACUUUAGCAUUGGGUUAGCUAUCAUUUAGGUGUCUUUUAGGAUUGGCCACAUUAUGGUGUGCGUGUGUGGCACGAGUCGAGUCUGAUGCUGAAAUGAUAGAGCUUGACUGCAGUGCGUGUUCAUUAAAUCUUUUUCAAGGAUUAAGUGCGAGUGACACAUCCAUAUCUUGACAAGUCCGAGGAUGAAAUGAUAGAUCGGAGGAACUCGGUGAGUACGGACUCCUUACGACGCAUCCACGCGCCUGCUGUGCUUUAGUUGAGGCUAGCCAUGAUCUCACCAGAGAAAAGCAAAGAGAUAAGUGCGUAUUAGCUUAUGCUAAUGGAAGGUGAUCGUUUCCUCGAUGGAGACUACACCGCCAACUAUUUCUUCCCACAUGGUUCAACAAAAUAGCCUUUAAUCUUGCUUUGUGUCGUACAUGAUGAUGCCGAAUACUGUUCGAUAAUGAGCUUUGUGGGAUGCCAGUUUGGGUAAACAUGGGAUAAGCUUCCAGUUGUGUCUUCUUUAAGCACGCGAGGACAAGCUGGACGCACCAUCCUGUCAACACCUGGAUUCCUGGAUUCAUGGAUUACAGACAUAGAAAAAAGAACAAAAUCCGCAAAGUGAAUAGGUUUAAGAGAGCGUGACAAAUCAUUGCAAUGAAGUGGCGAUCCACGUAUGGACAUCCAAGUCAGCAGUGUAGAGGAGAGGUCACAAUCAUUUUUUUGUUUUCAAUGUAGUUGUGUUGGUCAUAAAAACUUUGAAUGUCCUAAUGGUGCAGCAAUUAGCUCCUCAAUUAUGGGCAAGGAGACAAUUGCACUGUCAUCGAAGUAACUAUAGGAAGGCUCUGAUGUGGCUAGCAUCCAUCACCCUUCUUCCCUAGAGGAUUCUAUUAUGGCCCAUGGAUCUAUGUCCGGCAACAAUGAUCGGGCAACAAUUCUCCUCGGAGAAGAUGCUAUUAUGAUAGCGUACUACACAAAUGUCAGCUAUGGUGAACCAUCCUUCCUACCCUCAUGCCAAUGUGUUAGGUACUAUGCUUGUUGUAGUUAUUGUUGCAUUAGAAGGGAUGGCCUCAUCCAUGGAGCCAUAAAUAUAAUUAGUUAUUUGAGACCCCUAUAAAUCUUAAACCACAAGCCCAAAACAAAAAUCUAUCAUAUCAAAGUUUCGGAUAAUAUGCAACAUUGUUAGUUCUUUAGUGUGGGUGCGUUCAACUUUGAUAUGAUAGAUUUUUGUUUUGGUCUUGUGGUUUCUUUGAUGAUAUCGGAUAUAGUGUUAUCUCAUCAGCCUAAUGAUGACAAAUGAAUCUGAAGACCGAUCAUCAACGCCAAUCAUUAAUCAGGUCUAUCUGUGCGUUCGUGAGUUCUCAGUUAACUUCCAUCUCCCUCACCUUCUAUUGAUUAGAAAUAUUUUUGGAAAUUACCUACUAUUCCUCGUUUUUUUUUGUCUAUUGGAAGUUAUCACUUAACCACUUGUCUACUUUAGAUUUCCUUAAUUCUCAAGACAUUGAUGUUGCUGGUGUGUGUUUUCUUUGCCACCAGCAUUCCGACUGUGUGCUACACCUUUCUUCUAGUGCUUGUUCAUUAGAGAUGUUUUGUCUUUGAUUGAGCUUAAUCUGGAAGUCUCCUUUUGUUCUUUGGGUUCUUGAGGGAAUGACUAUUGGUCUCAGUCAGGAUAAGGCUAUAUAUUUUGGUUAGCUUGGAAGGUCAGUUCUUAUUUGUUUGUAGGAGGUAAAUUUGUUUGUGUUUUCACUGACAAGCUUUCGACCUUUUUGAAAUGAUUAAUGAAGACACUGAGUUCUGCAAUACUGUAAUGGAAAGAAGGAAACUGAUGUUGCAGGAGAGCCAUGGCGGAACCAUCUACCGUAGCCAAAGGGAAAGGUUACUACUAGUAGAUGAGAGCACAGAUUUGAGAAGAAAGUAUCUGACCCAGGCAGCUACACGAUUCAGAUAGAAGAAUGCACCCCCAAGUAUUUGCAGAGAUCAAUACCUCUUACAAUCGUCUUCAAGGAAGACCUUCUCCUAUGUACAACACCGAAACCAAAAGCAACAUACCUAUACCUUCUCCCCUGCAACCCUACACCAACGUUCCACCCACUUUCCAUCUCAUUCCAUCUCAUUCCACGAAAACGUAUACCAUCGAAUCCGUAGCUUUCUCUUUUUUUCCUUGCAAUUGUUCACCGUCACUAGAUUGGUCGUGGCCGAGAUGGGAAGGACCUGGUUGGCUGGAUGGGUGGGGCAGGACGCCGGGGUGAGUCGCGCAGCGUCUGGGAACGGUGUAGCAUUUCGACCAUUGACGGCGUCUGAUAAGAAUGGAGGAGGCUGGAAC
rnacentral:lncRNA from 1 species